UUACCUUUGAAAUGGUUGAUACCAAGAUGCAAAGUCUUGAGCAAAGUCAAAUUUCCAAUUUCUGUAGGUAUAUUUCCCUCCAAGGAGUUGUUAAACAAUGAUAAAAACUUCAGCUCUUUGCAUUUGAAUAAACUAUUUGGAAUUCUACCCGAAAUUUGAUUCCCACCCAAGCUCAACAUUUCUAGUUUUGACAAAUUGCUUAGAGUAGAUGGGAUAACACCAAUGAAGUUGUUAAGGUACAGAGACAAUGUUUGAAGUUUACUGAAGCAACCAAACCAUAAUGGGAUUUUUCCAUUGAAGCUAUUGUUACCAAAGUCUAAAUAUUUCAUCCGACGCAAAUUAGUUAACUCAACGGGUAAAGAGCCUUGGAAACUAUUUUGAUGAAUAUCGAGCCAAGCAAGGAAAGAUAGAUUUCCCAAUUGAGAAGAAAUGGUGCCUAUGAGAUCCAUGCUUGACAAAUUCAGAGCAGUGACUCUAUAGUGUUUAGAUCCACAUGUGACACCAAUCCAGCUACAAACGGAGGUAGAAGUAGACCAAUUGGUUGUCAAGAAAUUGUGAGGAUCAUGAGUUAUAUGAGAUUUGAGUGCUAGAAGAGCAGAUUGAUCAACGGUGAUGCUAGAAUAUUUUGCAGACAAAAUAACCCCAAAGGUUGCAAAUAGCAGCCCAAACAUAAACGGAGGGAGGAAGCUUGGUUUUGCCAUAAGGGUGGAUAUGGGUGUAAGGCGCAUCAUAAGGAGAGAAACAACCGAGUUUAAUACUUUCCUAAUGUUAGUUCAAUACUUCGUAAGUUUAUAGUAAUUCCAACUGCGAGAUGAUCAAAAAUUCCAAUUGGCAAUUGGAAUAUGAGAUACGAUGUUUAUGUUCUUUUUCAUUUUUAAAUAUAAUAAAGGCGAAAUUGACAGAAGGGAAAACUUUCUCCUUGGUUUAAAAGUCCAGAUAUCAAUUACAAGACAUAAAAAACAAAGACAAGUAUUGGGGGCCAGUAGAUGAUAGUGAGUGACACUAUUUGAUCUAGUCUAAUUAUUACAACAUGUUUGAUUGAAACUAUUUUGUAAGCUCUGAUUAAAUAAAUAUUGAGAGGAAAAAACUUAAAAUUUCUUCUUUUCCUUAGCUAUAAAAUUGAAUUUCUAGUUUGGAUUACAUGCCUUUGGUUCUCAUCUCUAGUUAUGUAAGGCAGAGUCGCUGUUAGUUGGAUGGACCUACAUUGAAAACAUGAAUUGAAAAGAUAAGUAAUAGAAACUUUGUCAUAUUUAGACAAAUAUCAACCACAUCUUUAUUAACUUUUUACAUUUCUUAUCCCAAUAUUCAAAACCAAACAAUACAUUCAUUGCAUGUUCCUUUUCCCAAAUAUCAUUUUAUUUAAUGUCAUUAGACAUUACUCUGUUCUUUUUUCUUUGUGAUAAAAAUUAUUAAACAAAAAAUUAUUACAAAUGUUGUAGGAAUCUAUCCUUUGAGAUUGUUUGAUUCUAGUUUUUGACAAAUUGCUCAAAGUUGGUGGGAUAAAACAAGUGAAUUUGAUGGUGUUCGGAAACAAGCUUCGAUGUUUAGUGAGAUCAAAAUUUGUUGGCAAAUUAAAUUCCUCAAUGGGUAAAUAUCCAUGGAAGUUACUGUCCCAGAGUGGGGCUGGACUUGGAUGGUGUCUGCGAGACUCAUUUUUAUCAAAUUCAAAGCAGUGGCAGUAAUACCGAUUAAAUUACAACUAGAAAUAAAAACAGAUCAGUUGGCUUGGUUGCCAAGAGGUUUCGAGGGUCAUGCUUGUUCCCUAUCAUCCCAAGUACUACUAAGUCAGUACCCCUCUAAAUGGGGAGAACUUUGUUGAUCUUUCAUUGGUUUAGAAGUCCAAAUACCAAUUGCAAGGCAUCAAAACAACAAAGACAAUAUUGGGGACCAGCUGAAGAGAGUGAGUGACACGGUUUGAUUUAGAGUCUCAUGAUUGCAACAUGUUUGAUCGUGAUCCUCAACUUUGAUUGUAAUGUCUAACAAAAGAAAUACCCAGAUGAGAAGACCUUUUUUCUAUAAAAUCUAAAUUUCUAGUUUUGAAGACAUGUGGUUCUCAUCUCUUACUUGUUCUGCACGGCUAAGUCGCAGUUGCUUCGAUGGACCUAUGUUGGGGAACAUGAAUUGAAAAAAAUGCCAACAAGUAAUAGAAACUUUGUAAUAUUCAGAUAGAUCAAAUUAAGCUUUUUGUGGACCAUUCUCAAAUAAUUAAUUUGGCAAUCCUGAAUCUAACAAUCUAACCAUUGAGUUUAACAGUAUAAUUAUAAUUGCCUUGCAUUUAAAAUUUUGAAUUGAUCUAAUACCUCUAUCAUUUGGGUCCAAAACUUUGUUUAUUUCAUAUAUAUUAUAUAAAGCAAAGUUUUUAAAUAUUUUUGAACGUAACUAAGUAAGCAUGUUUCUUCUACCGCGAGUCAAAACUUUGCAGCAAUUUUAGCCAUUUCAUACACUAUAUAUCAUUAUAUUCUUACCUUAAUUAAAGCAUAAUAAUAUAUAUUUUCAUAAAUUUUUAAAAAUAUCAUAAAUUUCCAUUGGGAAUUUUGUUGGUGUAUUCUAAAUUACAUAAUAAUAAGAAAUAUGAAAGAUUUCCAUAUAUUCUCGCCUUUUAGUAUAAGUAAUAAUAAAAAUUUUUGUUGAUUCACCUUUAUUAUGAAAAUAAAAAUAAAAAUAAAAAAUUACAAAAUUAGAACCGUAAAUCAAUUUUGGUUUAAAAUUUUAAACCUACAUAUUAAAGAUAUCCUAACAAAUUUACUUUAUAAGAGCACAGUUUAUGGAAUAAUUUUUAUAUCCAAUCAAAGGCCUUUCAUUCUUAUAAAUAUCGGAAAUUACAAAGUUAAUCUUUGUGUAGAAAAUCUGAUAGGUAAGUAGCAUAGCAUCCAUCUAAUAGAUUAGGAAAUCUGUAGUCUUGAGAUGGAAUAGAUUUUACGGUCACAUUGGCAACCUUAAAUUAUAAUCUUCUUUGAUCUCGUUUGCAUAACAUCCAUCUAAUUUUGAGAAAUCUGCACUUUUAAUUUCAAAAUUGUAAUUAAAUAGGUUUAUCCAAUUAAAUAAUAAUAAUAUAUGGCUAUGGUGAUGUCUAUAAUUUCAUAAAAUAAUUACUCUAAUCUAAUCCAUGUCUCUUCCUUUCUGAGUUUAUCAAGCAAUAAAUUCCCUUCGAUUUCACCUAACUUGUUAUAAUAAUGUUUUCUCAAAUUAGUUAAAGAAGAAAAUUUAUGAUGUUAUACUUAAAUUGAAUCUUUCAAUUUAUUAGGAAUUGAUUUUAAAUUAGAAAGAUCAAAAUUUAAGUAGAAUCACUUAGGGAUGCUAGUGGGGCAAGUUUUGCGGGUCCCGCCCUACUUCGUGCUCAAUUGACAGUAGGAUGGGGACAAAAAUUAAACCCGUUGUGAGUGGUGGGGUAGGCGUGGGUAUGACCUUGUACCUACCUCAUCCCCACCUACCCCAUCCCAUCCCGAAUAAUAUAAUAAACAUAUUUAAAAAAAACAUUUAUAUAAAAUUAAUUUAAUAAUUAUUUUAAUAGUAUUUAAUUUUUGCUCUUGUGUUGCAUUUGAAGAUAUUUAUGAUGUAUUUGAGAUAUUGUUUGUAUUUUGAUAUUAUGUAAUGACUUUAUUUUUUGAAUUUUUAAACUUGAAAUUAUAUCUUAUUUAAAAAAUUAAUGGUGGUAACGACUUACUUUUUUUAAAAAAAUAGUGACAGUUAGAAUAAUGUCACAUAUGUGGUGGGAGUUUGGAGGAUAAAUAUUUUAUACUUUUGUCACAAAAAGUUGGUUUAUAUUUAUUUAAGUGAUACUUAUAAAUAUAUUAUACGAAGUGGGUCACAAAAUUGUGUAAGUCAAAGUCUGUGUAAUUUGUAGUAAUGCAUACCAAGAAGGAAUCUUCGGCCCUCUCUCUUUCUAUCUUUGUCUUCCUCUCAUUUUGGUGUUGUUUGUUUGGAUGUGUUUUGUCUUGUGUUAAUCUGAUUUGUUUUGUUCCAGUGAUGUUAAGCCUUUGACUAGUAAUAUGAGUAAUAUUGGGCAAACCACAAUACACGGUAAAGAAUGAAAGCCAGAGAAAUGCAAGACUGCAUGUCUACACCAUUAUUCACUAUUCAACAAUACAUUACUUAUUUUUUUCUUUGUGAUAAAAUUUAUUAACAACAAAUGCUAUGCUUGUUUUAUGGAUAAAGUAAUGUUUAUUUAAUAUAUCCACAACAAUAUCAGUCUGAUUUACUGAAAAAUAUAUAUAUCCACAACAAUAAAUGAAUUUCCAGUUAUACGUCUCAUUCAAUAAUAAUAUUUUCACUAUUACCAAAUAUUUUCUCUUCAUCCAAUUUUUUGUCACUUGGAUAUCACGAUACCCUAGGGGAUAUUGCGAUACCACUGCUUCAUGCCUUGAUCCCAGAACUAAUGGGGCUUUCGUGAUUCCAAUGCCCUGAUGUCAUGAUACCACUGCUUUGGAGAUGUUUUCGCAUGAUUUCAGGCCUCCGACAAGUACCUACAACACUCGAUCAAAUGUUAGGUUCCCCAAUUACACAAUUGGCCAAUUUCGGUAUAAAAAAUGAGUAAAACAAGGCAAUUUUCACUUAUUCAAUUGAAACAUAAAAAAAUAUUAAAAAACUACGUAAAAGACACAAAAAUGCUUGAAAACAAGCUCUUCAAGUAUAACGGGGAAUUUUAAUUUUACAUAUUAGAUUACGACAGAUCACACCCCUGUUCAGAAAAAUGAAAUGAAGAGGCUGAUUCAGAAAAUGUUACAAGCAAGCAUCAUUAAAGACAACAAUAGCUCAUUUGCUUCUCCCAUUAUCAUGAUCAAGAAGAAAUAUGGGAAUUGAAGACUGUAUGUUGACUCCUGACAACUCAACCAAGUUACCAUAAAAGACAAGUUUUUUGUUCUAGUUAUUGAGGAAUUGUUGGAUUAGUUGGGACAAGUUGUGUUCUUUUCUAAAUUGGAUCUCAAAUUGUUAUAGGGGAAAAAAGGAGAGCCUAAAAUAGAAGACUUAGUCUCAAGUUGAAGAGUAGCACUAAUAAUUCAAUUGUUGGUUUCAGAAAUCCAGUUGCAACAUGUUUGAUGGUGAGUGACACUAUUUGGUUUAGUCUAAUUAUUACAACAUGUUUGAUUGAAACUAUUUUGUAAUCUCUGAUUAAAUAAAUAUUGAGAGGAAAAGACUUCAAUUUUCUUCUUUUCCUUACCUAUAAAAUUGAAUUUCUAGUUUGGAUUACAUGCCUUUGGUUCUCGUCUCUAGUUAUGUAAGGCAGAGUCGCUGUUAGUUGGAUGGACCUACAUUGAAAACAUGAAUUGAAAAGAUAAGUAAUAGAAACUUUGUCAUAUUUAGACAAAUAUCAACCACAUCUUUAUUAACUUUUUACAUUUCUUAUCCCAAUAUUCAAAACCAAACAAUAAUACAUUCAUUGCAUGUUCCUUUUCUCAAAUAUCAUUUUAUUUAAUGUCAUUAGACAUUACUCUAUUCUUUUUUCUUUGUGAUAAAAAUUAUUAAACAAGAAAUUAUUACAAAUGUUGUAGCUAGGAAUCUACCCUUUGAGAUUGUUUGAUUCUAGUUUUUGACAAAUUGCUCAAAGUUGAUGGGAUAAAACAAGUGAAUUUGAUGGUGUUCGGAAACAAGCUUCGAUGUUUAGUGAGAUCAAAAUUUGUUCGCAAAUUAAAUUAUUCAAUGGGUAAAUAUCCAUGGAAGUUAUUGUCCCAGAGUGGGGCUGGACUUGGAUGGUGUCUGCGAGACUCAUUUUUAUCAAAUUCAAAGCAGUAGCAGUAAUAUCGAUUAAAUUACAACUAGAAAUAAAAACAGAUCAGUUGGUUUGGUUGCCUAGAGGUUUCGAGGGUUAUGUUUGUUCCCUCUCAUCCCAAGUACUACUAAGUCAGUACCCCUCUAAAUGGGGAGAACUUCGUUGAUCUUUCAUUGGUUUAAAAGUCCAAAUACCAAUUGUAAGGCAUCGAAACAACAAAGACAAGUAUUGGGGACCAGCUGAAGAGAGUGAGUGACAAGGUUUGAUUUAGAGUCUCAUGAUUGCAACAUGUUUGAUCGUGAUAUGAUUGUAAUGUCUAACAAAAUAUAUACCAAGACGAAAAGACCUUUUUUCUAUAAAAUCUAAAUUUCUAGUUUUGAAGACAUGCCUUUGGUUCUCAUCUCUUACUUGUUCUGCACGGCUAAGUCGCAGUUGCUUCGAUGGGCCUAUGUUGGAAACAUGAAUUGAAAAGAAUGCCAACAAGUAAUAGAAACUUUGUAAUAUUCAGAUAUAUCAAAUUAAGCUUUGUGUGGACCAUUCUCAAAUAAUUACUUUGGCAAUCCUGAAUUUAACAAUCUAACCAUUAAAUUUAAUUAACAAUAUAAUUAUAGUUGCCUUUCAUUUAAAAUUUUAAAUUGAUCUAAUACCUCUAUCAUUUCGGUUCAAAACUUUGUUUAUUUCAUAUAUAUUAUAUAAAGCAAAGUUUUUAAGUAUUUUUGAAUGUAACUAAGUAAGCAUGUUUUGUAACACCCCCUAACCCCAAACCAUCACCGAAACAGGGUUACGAGGUAUUACCGGAUAUAUCAAACAAUUUACAAAUAAACAUAUCAUAAAUAACCAACAUAUUAAAAUUAUACAAGCAUUCAUAUAAAUUUCACUAAUUGAAUUUUUUUUAUAAAAAAUUCGGCAGCAUUUCUGCUUAUUUUUACAUAAACCCCCUGCAAAAUUUCAAAAUAUAACCAACCCAAUUCAUUUCACAUUCUCAUUUUCUAUUCUAAAUACCUUCUAAUCAAACUCAAUCAACUUAAUAUCAAUUUAAAUUUAUCAAUGUACUAAUUAAAUUGAAAUGGAUAAACUUCUUUCAUUAAAAUUCUUAGACUUAUAAUACUAACAUUUUUAACUAUUUAUAUUCAAAACAUAAUAACAUUUAUACACAUCCUAUGUACAUGCCACAUUACUAAAAGAAAAUAUACAUCACCAAAAUUUGCUGAAGUCGGGUCUGGUUUUUGGAUGCUGGUUCAGUACUUGACUUCUACAACCUGCGCAAGGAAACAACCGUACGCUGAGUAUUUCAUACUCAGUGGUAUUACUAUAAAUUAAACUAUUUAAUAAUAAUAAAAUUUCAAAUAUUGACCAUAAUCUUUAUAAAUCAAUUUAAACUAAAUAUACAUAUUCAUGUAUCAUUUCAUAAAUCUUAAAUUUAUAUAUAUAUAUAUACAUACUAAUUCAAUUCAUAAUUUAACUCAUACAUUCUUUCUCGUAUUUUUCUAUAGUGUCAAAUCAACCAAUUUCAUUUUCAAAUUUUCAUUUCAAUUAUUUACCCUAUUAACAAGCCUCGGACUCUGACAGAUACGCGGAUUCUACCCAAACACACCAGAAUAUCCAACCUAAACACACCUGGAAUAAUAUAAAUCCUCCCUAACACACCAGUAUAUCAUAUCCUCCCAAACACACCAAUAAGUCAUUAAAUACCUCUUCGGAUAAAUCGAAGCAUAUAAUAACAGAAUCAUUUUCUCGGCCGAACUACAAAUCUCCUCAUCACAUCACAAAUCCUAUGGCAUGCCAUUUGUAUCCAAUCUAGUCCAAUAAGUUAAUAGGGUAUUAUUUUACUUUCCAAUUUCAAAUUCAUUUCCACAACAAUUUUAAAUACUCAAACAAUUCAAAACAUCUAUUAUUUUGAUUAAUAUAUAAUUCAAUAUUCACACAUAUUCUUACUUAAUUUCAAAUGUCUCAUGAAUAAAAUUUCAAUAUAGCAUUUAUUAAAUAGAUUAAGUUAUAGUAAUACAAACCCGGAAUACGCGUUUACUCCUCAACGAUCUUUUCUUUUCCUUUGGAUGCCGAUGCCUCGUUUUCCUUGUUAGCUACGAAAAUAAUAAUUAUUUUCACUAUUAAUUUCAGCAUUAAAAAAAUAAUUAUUAAAUUUUAUUCAAUUCCUACUUAUUCCCAAUUUAAUUCUAACUAAGCUUAUUUAUUUUUCUAACUUAAUUCAUAUUUCUUUUCUACUUAAUUUCUUGCCAUAUUUAACUCUACUAUUCAAUAUUCAUAAUUAAACCCUAAUUUAAGGCUUUUUAUAACUUAAUCCCAACUAUAUAAAACUUAUAACUUAGUUUACAAAUCAAUCUUUUUAUCUAUUCUAACUAGAAAUUCUAUCAACUAAACCCCUAAUUUAACAACUUGUUCAAAAUGAAUCAUGUUCAUAAACCUAUGAACUUUCAUAACCUCCACUUAAUUUCAACAAAACUUUGUUUUAAAGCUUCUAAAACAUCAAAAUGAAGAGAAAAUGGCUAAAUUUAGCUUACCAAUUAAACUUAAAGCUUUAAAAUCUCAAUUUCCCCUUUUCUUUUCUUUCCCUUUUUCUUCCCCUAUUUUCGUCUCUUUCUCUGUUUCUAUUCCGUUCUUCUUUUGUUUCUUUAUCUUUUUAUUUUACUUACUUUACUUUAUUUCUUUUAUUUUAACUAAUAAUAUAUUAAAAAAAAUCUUUUACUUAUUAGUUAAGCAUAUAUUUAUUUUUAUUACAAGUGUACCUAUAUAAUUACUACUAUUACACUUGUCUUUAUUGCUUACCAUACAUUUGUCAUCUAUUUAGUUUAUAUAAUAUAAUAUAAUAUAAUAUAAUAUAAAACAUAAAAAUCUAAGAUUUUUAUCACUUAUGCCGUCCCAUUGCCUGUUAAUGGCUUAAUUGCCAUUUUAAUCCUUUUUAUUUUCUAUUAAUCUAUAAUUCAAGUUUUUCCCCUAGUUCAAUUUAGUCUUUUUUCCUAAUUUCCCUUAAUUAAACUAAAUUCAUCCAAUUAAUACCUAAUUAAACACUCAACUAAACUCAUAAUGACUUCAAAUAUUAUAAUUUUUUUAUGACUCAGUUUACUAAGACGGAGGCCCGAUAAUGUACUUUUUCCGAUGCUUGUGAAUUUUGGGUCAUUACAUGUUUCUUCUAUUGCGAGUCAAAAGUUUGCAGCAAUUUUAGCCAUUUCGUACACUAUAUCCAUAAGUUUUUAAAAAUAUCAUAAAUUUCCUUUGGAAAUUUUGUUGGUGUAUUCUAAAUUACAUAAUAAUCAGAAAUAUGAAAUAUUUUCAUAUAUUCUCGCCUUUUAGUAUAAGUAAUAAUAAAAAUUUUUGUUCAUUCACCCUUACUAUGAAAAUAAAAAUAAAAAAUUAUAAAAUUAGAACCGUAAAUCAAUUUUGGUUUAAAAUUUUAAACCUACAUAUUAAAGAUAUCCUAACAAUUUUACUUUAUAAGAGCACAGUUUAUGGAAUAAUUUUUAUAUCCAAUCAAAGGCCUUUUAUUCUUAUAAAUAUCGGAAAUUACAAAGUUAAUCUUUGUGUAGAAAAUCUGAUAGGUAAGUAGCAUAGCAUCCAUCUAAUAGAUUAGGAAAUCUGUAGUCUUGAGAUGUAAUAGAUUUUACGGUCACAUUGGCAACCUUAAAUUAUAAUCUUCAUUGAUCUCGUUUGCAUAACAUCCAUCUAAUUUUGAGAAAUCUUCACUUUUAAUUUCAAAAUUGUAAUUAAAUAGUUUUAUCCAAUUAAAUAAUAAUAUAUGGCUAUGGUGAUGUCUAUAAUUCCAUAAAAUAAUUACUCUAAUAUAAUUCAUGUCUCUUCCUUUCUGAGUUUAUCAAGCAAUAAAUUCCCUUCGAUUUCACCUAACUUGUUAUAAUAAUGUUUUUUUUGAAAUUAGUUAAAGAAGAAAAUUUAUGAUGUUAUAUUUAAAUUGAAUCUUUCGAUUUAUUAGGAAUUGAUUUUAAAUUAGAAAGAUCAAAAUUUAAGUAGAAUCACUUAGGGAUGUCAGUGGGGCAAAUUUUGCGGGUCCCGCCCUACUUCGUGCUCAAUUGACAGUGGGAUGGGGACAAAAAUUAAACCCGUUGUGAGUGGUGGGGUAGGCGUGGGUAUGACCUUGUACCUACCCCAUCCCAUCGCGCAUAAUAUAAUAAACAUAUUUAAAAAAUAAAUAUUUAUAAAAAAUUAAUUUAAUAAUUAUUUUAAUAGUAUUUAAUUUUUGCUCUUGUGUUGCAUUUGAAGAUAUUUAUGAUGUAUUUGAGAUAUUGUUUGUAUUUUGAUAUUAUGUAAUGACUUUAUUUUUUGAAUUUUAAACUUGAAAUUAUAUCUUAUUUACCAAUUAAAGGUCGUAACGACUUACCUUUUUUUUUUUAAAUAGUGACAGUUAGAAUAAUGUCACAUAUGUGGUGGGAGUCUGGAGGAUAAAUAUUUUAUACUUUUGUAACAAAAAAUUGGUUUAUAUUUAUUUAACUGAUCCUUAUAAAUAUAUUAUAUGAAGUGGGUCAUAAGGCAAGUAUAUAGCGGGGAUUAGGUGGGUUUGAGACCCAUGUGGGUGGUAAGGAGAGGAUGAAUUUGAGUUUUGUACCCGUAAUGGGUCACGUGAUGGAGAUGGGGAUGAAAAUUCUUAGCGGGGAUGGGGAUGAAAAUUGUGUAAGUCAAAGUCUGUGUAAUUUGUAGUAAUGCAUACCAAGAAGGAAGCUUUGGCCCUCUCUCUUUCUAUCUUUGUCAUCUUCUCAUUUUGGUAUAUUGUUUGUUUGGAUGUGUUUUGUCUUGUGUUGAUCUGAUUUGUUGUUCCAGUGAUGUUAAGCCUUUGACAAGUAAUACGAGUAAUAUUGGGCUCCAACCACAAUACAUGGUAAGGAAUGAAAGCCAGAAAAAUGCAAGACUGCAUGUCUACACCAUUAUUCACUAUUCAACAAUACAUUACUUAUUUUUUUUCUUUCUGAUAAAAUUUAUUAACAACAAAUGCUAUGCUUGUUUUAUGGAUAAAGUAAUGUUUAUUUAAUAUAUCCACAACAAUAUCAGUCUGAUUUACUAAAUAUAUAUAUAUAUAUAUAUAUAUAUAUCCACAACAAUAAAUUAAUUUCCAGUUAUGAGUCUCAUCCAAUAAUAAUAUUUUCACUAUUACCAAAUAUUUUCUCUUUUAAUAUUUGUUUAGAAAAUAGCGUUCAAGAUGAAUUUAGACAAAUAGUUUAGUAGUAGAUUAAAUUCUUUGGAUAUAUUAACCAAAUCCACACCAGCAAAUUUUACCUAUGAUGGAUUCAAUUGAACAUAUAAAAUAAUAACUUGUUAGAAGGGUUGAUUAAUUGGAAAGCAUAGAAUGGGUUAAUCAAUUAGAAAACUAGAAUUUAUAAAACUUAAGUAUAUAAUUUUAUAUUGGAAUUAUUCAGUGGGAUGAAGAGUAAAUUUCAAGUAGCAAAAGGAUGGAUCCAUCUCUCUCCCUUCCAUAUUUAGUCUUUUUCAAAUCUUCAAGAAUAGGCUGAUGUACAAUUAUUUUACUUUGAAUGCAUGAGUCUAUGGUAAGGAAGGGGUCCCAGCAGUAAGGUAAAAUGGUAAGUGUUGAAACAGAAAAUAAAAGAAAUGUAGCCGCUGUGGGUCUUAUGGAAUUAGUAUGAUUUAACGAUGACGGGGCUUAUGGUGCUUUGGAAUUAUCGUUUUUUUUAAGAUGAUUUGAUUUGGUGAAAGGGAGUGCUUUCGAUGUGGGUAUUUGGUUGCAUCCUUAUUGUUGUACAAAAAACUAGCUAGUUGGAGGAUCAACUUUCCUUUCAAUUUUAAUAAAAAUUAUAUAUGAACUUGUGAACUUGUAUUCAAAUUGAAUCUUUCCAUUGAGUCGCUCUUGCAAGUCAAUGCAGCAAUCAAGAACCAUAUUAUUAAUACCCAGCUAAGAUCGUGGACGUUUUCUACUCUAUAUUUUUCUCCUAAAUGCUUCAUUCCAGUGAAAAGUGCUGCAAUUCCUACGGCAAUGGCACCUCUGCCGAUAAUUACAUGGAAAUACUCCCAAAUUAAUCUCUUUGUGGAAGCGUCCUCCCCAUUAGCAGGUUUUGUCCGGUCUGAGAUAUGCAUUCAUUGGUUGCACAGAGGCAAAAACUAUGGCAGCAAUACCAAGCUUAACAUGUAAUGAGCUGACAUAGAAACCCCGAAGUUCGGCAACUUCAAAAAGAACACCAAGUAGGAUAAUUGCUAAUCCUGAAUAUUGUAGGUAAAUAUGAAUUUGGUACCAUCCAUCACCCUUUACAUGUUUUAGGUAUCUAGCAGCCAAUAUUCCACCAGGAAUCAAAAUACCCCAGGAGAGGAACAGCAUAAACCCAUGUACAGCUUUGACAGGUUGUAAACCUUGCUCAGCGUUGGAAGAACCACGGAUAAGCAGCACUUGCACAGGCCUUUGACUCGUGACAGUAUGCAUGUUUUCUCACUGAGAUGUUCAUCAGUCCACUUUGAACCCAUUGCCCAUAUGACUUUAAGAGGAGUUGUAGGAUCAACAAUGUUCUUGCACUGUGGCUUAUCAUUUUGAUUGCAUGAUGGUUUUAAUGGACGUGUGAAUUCCAAAGUAAUGAUGCCAUCUUCUGACCUGCACCUGACAUGUGUCAGAUUCUCAUUUGUUGGAUGAAUGUUCAAGGGAUGCUUUCCAUCAAUCCAAUAUGUAUUUAAAUGCCCUUUUCCACUAUCGCCAAUCCAGCCCACAUAUGCAUAGCUAUUCACCAUCCCAUUACCGAAACCUAUUGCAAGAUAGCCACUCUUAUUCACACCACGGGCAGCAAUAGUUAUUGAAUCUUCUGAUGACGUCCAAAAGAAAGUAACUUGAUCAUCUAAAAGCACACUAGUGUUAUACAUAUCAGACAGGGCACCAUCAAAAACUUGAACUUUCCAUCCCAUCUUCUCCUGGUACAAGGACUGAUAAUACACUUGAUCGGGGGUAUUCCUAUCGGGAACCCAAAUCAAUUCAUGAGGAUUUGCUACAACUCCUUCCGCUUCUGGCCCUCCAGAAUAAAUAGUCUCAGUUGCAUUCCUUAAUGUAGCAUUCCCACCUAGAGAAUCUGAAGUAAUAUACAAUGCAACAGCAUGCCCUGCCUGCGCCAAAAACUUAACUGGAACCCCUCUUUCCAAUCUCAACACCGGUGCUUACUUAUUAUUAAUACACAAAACCUUAGACGGACUUGGCGGACUUGGAUAAUGCAACACCUCCCCUGUUGUAGCAACAAGGGGGACUUCUGUAUCAGCAAUAAUCAACUAUUGAUCCUCAUUAUCAUCAGCAUCCAAUGGCCAAAACAAUCAUCUACCUUCUCUGAAACAUUAAGCACCAAAUGUCCUUAUGCAACCUUCUCUGGAUCCCCAUGAAAUUGGGGCAAAAAAUGAGACCGAUUUUCUUUCGGUGGUUUCAUCAACCCUAAUGCCCAAAUAACCCUCAUAUCCUCAUUAGGAUACACAGGCAAAUCAUACUUCUUAGGGUAAACUGCAAAAUUAGUCACUUUUGUUUGUCUUAGAUUACAUUUUAAUCACUUAUGUUUGAAAUGUUAUAUUUUAGUCACUUACGUUAUCAUUUUGUUACGAAGUGAUCACUCUAUCGUUAAGCUCUGUUACCUCCCUAAUGGCGGUCCUACAUGGCAAUCCAGAUGGGUUUUAAAUGCCAACUUAGAUGUCUUACUUGGCAAUCCAAAUUGAAUUUAUUUAAUUAAAAACCUAUUUUCAUUCCAGCAACUGGACAUCCAAGUUGGCAUUUAAAACCCAUUUGAACUGCCACGUAGGACUACCAUUAGGGAGGUAAUGGAGUUCAAUGGUAAAGGGACCACUUCGUAACAAAACGAUAACGUAAGUGACUAAAACGUAACAUUUCAAACAUAAGUGACUAAAAUGUAAUCUGAAACAAACAAAAGUGACUAUUUUUGUAGUUUAUACUACUUCUUAUCUGUCGAAUUCAAUGGUUUCCUAAACAUAAUUAAAGAAACCCCAUCUCUCCUAUGUCCAUAAACUAACCUAGUAUUAUUCACCAUCAUGCCAUUUUUCGAAUUCUCAUAAACUACAUCAGGGCAAACACCUAUAGCUGUACGAUCUUUAGAACUCAACUUACAUUCACUAUAAGCCGUAAUGUAAAAAUCAUCAACAAAAGGCCUACCUUCUUCAGUAAAACUUGCCACCGUAACAUCAACUCCUUCGUCCUAUUCGGAUUUGCCCACCCAAAUGCCAUGUAAUAGGUCGUCGGUGUCGCCGCUUCUAACCCGAUCUCGAUCUAAUUUUCCUCCACAUUCAAGUUCCACCGGACCCUAUAAUUAUCCGAUAAGUUCUUGCAGUUAUCAAACACUGUAUGCAUCGAGCCCGAAACCGAAUCCGACCCAUUUCGAGGGAGGGUGACAUGGCCGAAGUCCGAGGUGCUGGCGAUGUCCCAUAUUGAAAGAAUGUUGAUCUGGUCCCAGGUUAUGUCGGGGAGCAAUUGGACUGAAGACGGUGCAUUUUUUGUAAGCUGUUUGAUUGAGGCGUUGACCGGAGAUGGGGAACCCGCUGGUGAGGUCAGAGAAGUUGAAGGAGACGGCGCCCCAGAAAAUGACGUCGGAUGAGCCGGAUAACAUGUCGAAUCCGGUGACCUGGAAAGAGUAGCCAUUGAGGAUUUUGAGAUGGCCACGGAGUUGGUGUCGGACCAUUGUGAAGUUUGAUUCAAACCCGACUAGGGAGCUGAUGUUAGAGCAUUUCUGACCCGAAUCCGCUUUGGAAGAGGCGAUGGAAUUGAUUAGGAAGAGUGGGAUUAGAAGGAAAAUUUUGGAAUUGUACAUUCGAAUCCGGUCGCGGGUGAUUCGAGAAUUUGAAUUCGGUGAUGAUGGAAAAUGAACGUUUUAAAGAGAAGGAAGGAGCCAAUGAGCUGCUGGGUGGUGAGUGGUGACUCGGUGCAGCCGGAGCGAGUUGUCGACUUGUCUCGAUAUUGGUUUAUAAUUUUACUUUUUUUCCUGCUUUUCUGAAAAGAGGAAACUAGAAUCUCUACUAUCAGUUUUUUAAUUUUAAUUUAGUUCAAAUUUUUUAAUUUAGUAGUCCAACUAAUGGAGAAUUUUUUUUGCCAAUUUCCAUAAUGAGAGGACAUGAUAAUUAAAAAUUAAUAUAAUAGUAAAUUUAAUUCUUAAUUUUUACAUUUUGUAUCAAUUUAGUCAUUAUUUUAAAAAAAAUUAAUCUUCAAAAUUUACAAAUUAUCUCAAUUUGAUCAUCAAAAUUUACCUUUUCUUUCCACUUCCUCUGCUACCACUACCAUCGUUGCCUCUAGUUCCGGCUUCUCCUCCACCUUUCUAAAUUUUUUUUUUUCAAUCAUGUUCAAAUUUAAGGCAUUAUAAUUUAUUUUGUGUUAAGUUAGAUGAAGCCUAAGCAAUUUAAAUAUAUGUGCUUCUAUUUUACAAUAAAUUAGGUUGAAAUAGAAAGAGGAAAGGUAUGUUUUUUUUGGGAGAAAGGUGGAGGUGGAGGUAAUGAUGGUAAUGGCACGUGGUGAAGUAGAAGAAAAAAGUAAAUUUUGAGGAUCAAAUUGAGAUUAUUAGUAAAAUUUGAGAAUUAAUUAUUUUAAAAUUUUGACUAAAUUAAUAUAAGAUGUAAAAUUUGAGAGCUAGAUUUAUAAUUAUACUCAUUUUUUAACUACUACAUUACCUUCCAUAGAGAUUUAAAGAAAUAGUUAAGUGAUCAAAUUAAAAAAAAUUGAUAAUUAGGUAACUAAAAAAGAAAAAGGGAAGAUAGUUGGGUGACUUGUGGUAUAGUUUACCCUAAUAAUAAAAUAUAAUAGGGUAAACUAUAGAAUUAGUCACCCCACUAUUAGUGUGUUUCUGUUUUGGUCACCUAACUAUGAAAAUUUUUAAUUUUAUCUCUAUCGUUUUAGAUCAUUUCUAUUUUGGUCACUUACGUUUUAGAGCAUUUUUAUUUUACUCACUCUUCAUUAAAUCAUUAACGAAAGUUAUGAUGUGACCUUUUUUUAAUUAGUAUAAAUAAUACAUUUAGUCUUCAAUGCUUACAAAUUUUAUCAAUUUGAUCCUCGAACACAUAUAAUUAAAUAUAAAGUAUAUAUUAUGAAAACGUACAAAAUAUAAUUAUUUAUAUAUAAUUAUCUAAAUAAUAUUAUAUGUGCUUAUAUUUAAUUAUAAUUAUAAGGUUCAAAUAUGCAUUUAGCUCCUCAAACUUGACACCUUUUCCCAUGUUGGUACUUAUGAUUUUUUUGUCCCAAGUUGGUACCUAAUUUUUCAUUCUGUCAAGGGCUUUGUUACAAUAUUAAAUAUAGGACACAUGACACUCUUAGGAUGCCAUAAUCUAUUUUUUUUUAUAAAAAUAUAAUAAAAAUUUAAAAGAAACUAUAUAAAUAUAUAUUUUAAAAUAUAAAGGAAAUUAUAAAUUAUAAAAAUAUAUGUAAAUAAAAAUUUUAAAAUAUUACAAAAAAUCUAAAAUUCAAGUUGGAAAAAUCGAAAACCUAGAAAAUUUACACAUUUUUCUAAAUAAAUUGCAAACAAAUUAGAUAAAGAUAAAUUUUACAAUAAAUUUUAUGUUUAGAGAUGGGUGCAAAUUAUUACACGAUUUUUCAAGUUAAUAAGAAUGUAAAAGAUGAUGAUUUAAAAAUGGCUUACAAGAAGCUUUUUCGUUGUCCUUUUUUCUUUUUGUUAAUUAUUUGCUAGAUGAUGGGAAAAAUUGGGUUCCUUUGUUGGAAAUGCUAUAAAAACCAAAAAUUUACUAAGUUCUGGGGGUUUUGAGUUUUUGGGUUUAUCAAAAUCACACACACAUAUAAAUUUAUCAGUAUUUAGUUAUAUGUGUUUAAAUAUGAUCAUUUUUUAUAUUUAAUUAUAUGUGUUUGAGAAUAAAGUUGAUAGAAUUUGUAAAUAUGGAGGGUGAAAUUUAUUGAAUUAUUUAGAAUAAGAAUCAAAUUGAUAGAAUAUGUAAGUAUUAAGAAAUAAAUGUGUUAUUAUGCCAGUUGGAAAAGGCAACAUCAUCGCUUCCGUUACCUAUUUAAUGGAGAGUGAUCAAAAUAGAAACAAUCUAAAGUGUGAGUAAACAAAAUAGAAAUAAUAUAAAAUAUAAGUGACUAAAUUAAAAAAUUCAUAGCCGGGUGACUAAUCCUAUAGUUUACCCUAGACGGUAGAAGCAAUUAGGAUUAAUUCCACCAAACAUCUCAAACUAUUACUCAUAUUUUAAAUUGAACCCUAAACUUGUACACAUUCUAAUUAAAUUACUCAAAUAGAAUAUGAUAACAUGUUAUGCUAUUAUUCAUCGAUAAUGCAUAGAACUUAUGCACCAACAAUGCAUCAAAUAUUCUCAUUAAAAGAAAAUGUAUAAAAUAAGUUUUAUACCAUCUAUAAGCUGUAAAAAAAAAAUUAUCCAAUAAAAAAUAUAAAAGUACAUAUCUAUAAUUUCACAAAAAGAGAAUUACAUUAAUCAACCUCACAAAAUAUACAUCUCACAAAUCUGAUUGAGGUUAAAAACAAAGAAUGCAUGCAUGUACUGUGCAAUUAAAACCAUGAUCCAUAUUCAAUUCUAAAGUAUUGAACAUAUAAUUUUGCAUUAUUUUACCUCCCUUGAUUCUUCACACACUCUUUGGAAUAAAUUAACCAUCUAUUCCUUAUUUCAAUUUUAUUAAAAAGUUAGGUUCCCAUAAAGACAAUCUUUACAAACCAGUGCACCUAUCAUAAACACAUCAGGGAACAUUGCCAUGAGAGAGGACCUAAGAAAACAUAAUACAAACUACAAAACAUACAAUCAGGCACCCACACAAAAUGUUUAUUAAACAGCUACAGAACCUGCAUACCACCAAGCAAUGAAGUUUUCUGUUCUGUUUGCAACUUGUUGAACUCGCCCAAGUGUUGGCUUCUCUACCUUUUUGCAAAUCUUUGUCGGGCUCGCUCCACGAUCCUAAUCAACCACCAUGGUUUUCCUGUCGUGAAUACAAUGUAUGCCAUGCUCAUUCCCAGCACCAACCCACAUCCAUACCCCAUCAAUAUUGAAAAUUUCCAAUUCAAUUCAUCACCAUCAUCAUCUCUAUCAAAUUUGGCUGGAGUUUCCUCAUCAGUACCACAGUUUUUUGAUAAUGGCAAACCACAUAAAUCCAAAUUUCCCAUGUAGGAAUCGUUAGUGAAAGUAUCAAAUUGUUUGCCUUGAGGAACGGGUCCCUUCAGAUUAUUUUGAGAAAGGUUUAACACCUCUAAGAAUCCAAGAUUUUUUAACUCUGUUGGAAUUCUUCCUUCCAGCUUAUUUGAUGAGAGAUCUAAUGAUUCAAGCUCUGACAAAUUACCUAAAGAUGAUGGGAUAGGACCUAUUAAACAGUUAUGGGAGAGAUUUAGGACAAUAAGUAAAUGAAGCUCACCAAGUAUUUUUGGAAUUUCUCCCCUGAAUUGGUUACUAGAAAGGUCAAUAACCGUCCAAAUGGAUAAUAGUGAUUCAAACUGUAUUUCCAGCCCUUUUGCUGUAACAGAUAAACCAGAAGCAUAAUCCACCCAAAAUGAACCAAUUGCAUCUUUCGUGAUCUUUACUUCUCUCAUGUAAUUUGGUUCAACUUUCUUUCCAUACUCAUCUCUAAUGGCAUGCAUAUGCUCAAAAAAAAGGGUAGGUAAGUAGCCACUAAAAUUAUUGUGAGAAAGAUCAAUGAUUCGCAAUUUAGUUAAAGAAACUGUAGUAUCAAAGCUCUCUAUUUGGCCGUAAAGUCUAUUCGAUCUCAAGAUAAGAACUUGCAGCUGAUCCAAAUUUCCUAACCAACUUGGGAAAGUGUCAUUCAAAUUGUUGUUUCCAACAUUGAGAAGAUUUAAAGCUUUGCAAUUACCCAAAGAUCGUGGUAGUGACCCUUCUAAUUCAUUGUUGUUGAUGCGUAAACUUCUCAACAUGCAACCUUUAGCAAAAUUUUCUGGUAUUUGACCAUGAAAAUUAUUAUUCCUUAGAUCAACUGCUGUGAGAGAAGAACUCAAGUUUCCGAUGCACUUUGGAAUUGUUCCCUCCAAAAUUUUCCCAUCUAAAGAAAUACUCAUAAGGGAAGUCAAAUUGCAUAUUGAAGAAGGGAUUUCUCCAAUUAAGUUAUUAGUUGAAACUCCAUACAAUUGCAAUAAAGGUGGUGGUGUUGGAAUUCGACCUUAGAGAUAAAAUUGAAAAUGAGAUAGAAUUAGGAGUUUGAAGAUUCUUUGGAAUAUAAAUUAUAAAAUAACUAUAUUUGUGAUGAUGUGUACACUCAAUACAAAUAAUGCAUCACAACAACUUUUAAGUUGUAAUCUAUUGAAGGAAACUACUACUAUCUUCUAGAGAGAAAUUUUUAUUUCCCUUACUUAAAAGUAAAAAGGGAUUGCAUAAAUGUAUAAAAAAUAGAAGGAAAAAAAAAUCAAACUAUACUUAAUAGUUUAUUAUAAAAGAGAUAACCAUUUAAUAUCUUACUUAUAUUUCAUUUUUUAGUGUUUAUUAUUAUUUUUUGUACUUUUAUGUAUAUUUUAUAAUUUAUUAUUGGGGUUCACGGUUGUUAUUGUCAAGAAUAUCAUCUCUAAGACUUGAAUCUUGUUCUCCCCUUAAGAGAAUAAUAUGUUUUACCACUGCACCGAAUAUUUAUUGGUGUAGUAUUUAUUAUAACUACAAAUAAUUUUAAUUAUCUUUUUAUGAAACUCUAAGUUAGAGGUCAAAUAAAAAAACAAAUUAAUUGAUAUAGUGUUUAAAUUUUUAUCAUUAUAUGUAAAGUUUUAAUUAUUAGUUAUAAUUUUUUUCCUCACAAUUGAAAUUUAAAAACGAUAUUUUAUGAAAUUUAAAGAUAACAUAAUUAAUAGAAAAUUGACAUUUUCUUUAGAGUCGGAAUCUAAGUAGUAGCAAUAUCUGUAACUGGUACUUCAAAUGUACAUUUUAUGUUUAUAAUUUUUAUAAGAUUGGGAGUUAAUUGAGAUUGUAGCCUCAAAAUUGGUGUUAAUAAGAAUGUAAAAGAUGAUGAUUUAAAAAUGGCUUACAAGAAGCUUUUUCGUUGUCCUUUUAUUUUAUUUUAUUUGAUAAUUAUUUGCUAGGUGAUGGGAAAAAUUGGGUUCCUUUGUUGAAAAUCCUAUAAAAACCACAAAGUUACUAAGUAAUGGGGGUUUUGAGUUUUUGUGUAACAACCCGAUUUUGGGCUUAGUCGGAACAGUGGUUUUGGGACCACAAAUCUGACGAGGAAAAAUUUAUUCUUAUUAUGUCUUUAUGGUCUACAAUUUCACAGAAUAAUAUCGUGAAAAUUUCGUUCGAAAAUUUUGACGUUUGAGCACUCGAUUUAGUAAAAAGGACUAAAUUGUAAAAAGUGAAAAAAUUGAGUUCUACAUGUUAGAAGUGUCCAAUUGUUAUGAAAUUUUAAAUUAGAGAUCCUUAUUUGGUAAUUAGACUAUUGGUUAAGUUGGUGGACAAAAAUGGACAUGGUUAGGCAUGUUUCCAAAGUUUUUCAUUAAUGGCGUUUUAGUCAUUUUUUUAAUUAAAAUGAAUUAAAAACAAAAUUAAAAGCCAAUUUUUGUCCAUCUUCAAGCUAGGGGCCGAAAUUUUCAUGGAGAAACCAUGGAUAUGGUUUUUCAAGCUUCCAAGCUCGAUUGUAAGUCCGUUCUAGCCCCAUUUUUAAUGCUUUUCACGUUUUUGAAAUCCUUGUAACAUGAUUUAUUUAUUUCUACCAUUUAUUUGAGAUAUGAUGAAGGUCUAGAUUUUGACCCAUGUUAUAAAUUUGUGUAUUUUGAUGGUUAAUGGUAGAUUUUGACCCAUUUAUUUGUGUAUUUUCGGUGAAAAUGCAUAAAAGGACUAGUUUGUAAAAAGAUUGUAAAAUGUGUGUAAGUGUGUGAAUAAGUGAAAAUUGUGGAAUGCUAUAGUUAUGAAAAUGGUUCAGCUAGGCCUAAAAUGCAAAGAAAUUGAAUAAAAUUAUUUUACAAGCCUAAGGGUAAAAUCAUAAUUUUGUGAAACUUUAGGGGAAAAGAUGUAAUUUUUCCAAAGUGUGAUUUUUGGACUAAAUUGAAUAAUUUGAGUGUUAAAUAAGGUAAAUGUGUUAUUAUAAAUUAAGAAAGACGAGAAAUUGACUUUGAUCAGUGAAAAAAAGUGAAAUUAUGAAAGAGUAUAUUUAGCAACAAAAUAGUUUAGAUAGAAAUAGUUGUGUGAUAUUGAAAAAUCACCAAAAAUCGUGUAAAUUGAAUUAGAGGCUGAAUAAUAUAUUAAAUUAAAGCUAAAUGAGUCUAUUUUCACAUAAAAGAGACAGAGCAAGCAAAAGAGUUUUAUAUUAUGAGAUAUUUUAAUUUUAGUGAGAUAGGGCCAGAAUGAUUUCGAAAUUCCCUCUUUUGAAUUUGGAAAAUCAUUAAAAAUUUUACAAAAAUAAUUAGGAGCUAAACUUUAUAUUUUUAGAAUCUUGAAUGAGUAUAGUUUCAAAAUAAACAAACAGGAACAUUAUCCAAAUUCUAUACAAUGAGAUAAUUAAUUUUUAGUGAAGAGGGGUCAGAACUGUCGAGCAUUGAAAUAGGAGAAAAUUUAAAGAAUAAAAUGUACUUAUUGGAUAAGAAAAAAAUAAUGAAAAUUUUAUGGUAAGAAUAUAUAUGAGUCUAGUUUCAGGUAAAAUGAAAGGAUCUUAAUUUGGAGCUCUGUAGCUCGAGAUAUAAAUAAAUUAGUGACUUUGACUCAGACAGACAGCUUGAAUUUACAUACAGGAAAAUAGUGAAAGAAUGGAUAAUGUUGUUUAAAUGUGUUAUACACAUUAAGGAUGUGGAAUGGAGAGGAGGAGGAGGAAAACUGGAAAAAUAUAGGAACGAUUCAUGUAUAAUUGGUCAUAUGCUCGAUUAUAAUUGAUAAAUGAUGAAAUAGAAAUGAUGCUUAUAUUUGUGCAUUAUUGGUCAUGGUUUAAGUUCAUGUGGGAAAAUAAGUUUCAUAGUAUGUGUGUAUGGUAUAUUGGGUAUAUGAUUUUGCAUGAAGUAAUGUCAUGAAUGGUUUAUGAAUUAACACAUGUCGGUAAGUUACGUGUAAAUAAUAGCAAUAUAUUUUUAUAAAUUGUGAAUUAUAUUUGGUAUGUGAAUUAAUAUUGAAUGUGGAAGGAAAAUUGUUCAUGAAUUAUUCAAGUGAUAAAGUGCUUAAAAUAAAGUGUUAAGUGCAAAUUCCUGGUUGAACUUAGGAAUAGAAGUGGAUACAAGUGACAUGUCACUAGAGACUAGUGUUAUAGUGUUACAGUGAGUCCCGGUUGCUGGGUGAUCUAGCAUGUGUUGCAGAUACCUGACAGCUUGUAUGAGCAGGCCCGUGGACAUUUUCAGUGUUAUUGAUUAGUGGUAACUUCGGCUACAUUUCAAUGGUAGCUACAGCUACAUAUCAGUGGUAGCUUCGGCUACAUUUUAGUGGUAUCUACGUCUACAUAUCAGUGGUAGCUUCGGCUACAUAUUAGUGUGACACUUAUGUGCUAAUUCUCUACUUAUUCGUGUAUAUUCCGAAUGUUCAAUGGGAUUAAUAAUGAGUUAAAAUGAAUAUGAAAUGUGGUGUACAUGCUUAGGCUUUGGUCAAGUUGUGGCUCAAUUAUGCCACGUUAAACUUAUAUUUAUGCAUUGUAUUGAUACGUUUAUGUUUUGUGUAAUAUGCAUAGGAACGGGUGUGGAAAGGUAAUGAAUUAAUAAGUUCAUACUUGAAGGGUAAAAUGACGAAAAAGGGGAUGAUGAGUUGAAUUGAUGUUGCUAUUUAAGCUAGAGUGAUAUUUUUAUUGGAAAAUUGAGAAUUUCAUAAAUGUGUUAAUGAAUGAUAUAAUCGAUAUACGUUGAGUUAAAUGUUAAAUACGUAUUAGUAUUGAACUUAAUAACAUUGAAUUGUACGUGAAUUAAAUGGAAAUUGCUAGUGAUAUGAUUUAAAUUGUGAGCAUGAGAAAUUGUGAAUUGAAUGAAAUGGAAAUGAAGCAUUGAAUUGCAUGAGUAUGUAUCGGGUCUCGUAGGUCCUAUUUAUUAUGAUUAUAAUAUUUUGAGGAUAUAUUGUGAAGAGUUAUAAAAACAUGUUAAUAAUUUUAAAAGUUUUAAUUUAGAUGAAAUUUUAUAACUCGGUUAAAUACAUUUACAAGUGUAUGUGUUCUGGUAAUGCCUCGUACCCUAUUUCGGUGUUGGAUACGGGUAAGGGGUGUUACAUUUUGGGUUUAUCAAAAUAACACUCACAUAUAAGUUUAUCAGCAUUUAGUUAUAUGUGUUUAAAUAUAAUCAUUUUUUAUAUUUAAUUAUAUGUGUUUGAAAAUAAAGUUAAUAGAAUUUUUAAAUAUGGAGGGUGAAAUCUAUUGAAUUAUUUAGAAUAAGAAUUAAAUUAAUAGAAUGUGUAAGUAUUAAGAAAUAACCGUGUUAUUAUGCCAGUUGGAAAAGGCAACAUCAUCACUUAAUCGUUAACUAUUUAAAGGAGAGUGAUCAAAAUAGAAACAAUCUAAAGUGUGAGUGACCAAAAUAGAAAUAAUAUAAAUGUAAGUGACUAAAUUAAAAAUAUUCAUAGUUGGGUGACUAAUUCUAUAGUUACCCUAGAUGGUAGAAGCAAUUAGGAUUAAUUCCACCAAACAUCUCAAACUAUUACUCAUAUUUUAAAUUGAACCCUAAACUUGUACACAUUCUAAUUAAAUUACUCAAAUAGAAUGUGAUAAUGUGUUAUGCUAUUAUUCAUCGAUAGUGCAUAGAACUUAUGUACCAACAAUGCAUCAAAUAUUCUCAUUAAAAGAAAAUGUAUAAAAUAAGUUUUAUACCAUCUAUAAUUUGUAAAAAAAUAUGUAUUGAAUAAAAAAUAUAAAAAUACAUAUCUAUAAUUCCACAAAAAGAAUUACAUAUCUAUAAUAUCUUUUUAUAAAUUCAAUUCCAAAUCUCCUGUACUAAAUCAACCUCACAAAUCUGAUUGAGGUUAAAAAGAAAGAAUGCAUGUAUUUUGCAAUUAAAACCAUGAUCCAUAUUCAAUUCUAAACUAUUGAACAUAUAAUUUUGCAUUAUUUUACCUCCCUUGAUUCUUCACAAACUCUUUGGAAUAAAUUAACCAUCUAUUCCUUAUUUCAAUUUUAUUAAAAAGAUAGGUUCCCAUAAAGACGGUCUUUACAAACCAGUGCACCUCUCAUAAACACAUCAGGGAACAUUGCCAUGAGAGAGGACCUAAGAAAACAUAAUACAAAGCACCCACACAAAAUGUUUAUUAAACAGCUACUGAAAAAGGCCUGCAUACCACCAAGCAAUGAAGUUUUCUGUUCUGUUUGCAACUUGUUGAACUCGCCCAAGUGUUGGCUUCUCUACCUUUUUGCAAAUCUAUGUUGGACUCGCUCCACGAUCCAAAUCAACCACCCUGGUUUUCCAGUCGUGAAUACAAUGUAUGCCAUGCUCAUUCCCAGCACCAACGCACAUCCAUACCCCAUCAAUAUUGAAAAUUUCCAAUUCAAUUCAUCACCAUCAUCAUCUCUAUCAAAUAUGGCUGGGGUUUCCUCAUCAGUACCACAGUUUUUUGAUAAUGGCAAGCCACAUAAAUCCAAAUUUCCCAUGUAGGAAUCGUUAGUGAAAGUAUCAAAUUGUUUGCCUUGAGGAAUGGGUCCCUUUAGAUUAUUUUGAGAAAGGUUUAACACCUCUAAGAAUCCAAGAUUUUUCAACUCUGUUGGAAUUCUUCCUUCCAGCUUAUUUGAUGAGAGAUCUAAUGAUUCAAGCUCUGACAAAUUACCUAAAGAUGAUGGGAUAGGACCCAUUAAACAGUUAUGGGAGAGAUUUAGGACAAUAAGUAAAUGAAGCUCACCAAGUAUUUUUGGAAUUUCUCCCCUGAAUUGGUUACUAGAAAGGUCAAUAACCGUCCAAAUGGAUAAUAGUGAUUCAAACUUUAUUUCCAGCCCUUUUGCUGUAAUAGAUAAACCAUCAGCAUAAUUCAUCUCAAAUAUAAUAAAUUUCUUCAUCUUUACUUCUCUCAUGUAAUUUGGUUCAACUUUCUUUCCAUACUCAUCUCUAAUGGCAUGCAUAUGCUCAAAAAAAGGGGUAGGUAAGUAGCCACUAAAAUUAUUGUGAGAAAGAUCAAUGAUUCGCAAUUUAGUGAAAGGAACUGUAAUAUCAAAGCUCUCUAUUUGUCCGUAAAAUCUAUUCGACCUCAAGAUAAGAACUUGCAGCUGAUCCAAAUUUCCUAACCAACUUGGGAAAGUGUCAUUCAAAUUGUUGUUUCCAACAUUGAGAAGAUUUAACCCUUUGCAAUUACCCAAAGAUCGUGGUAGUGACCCUUCUAAUUCAUUGUUGUCGAUGCGUAAACUUCUCAACAUGCAACCUUUAGCAAAAUUUUCUGGUAUUUGACCAUGAAAAUUAUUAUUCCCUAAAUUAACUGCUAUGAGAGAAGAACUCAAGUUUCCGAUGCACUUUGGAAUUGCUCCCUCCAAAUUAUUCUCAUCUAAAAGCAUAACCAUAAGGGAAGUGAGACUGCAUAUUGAAGAAGGGAUUUCUCCAAUUAAGCUAUUAUUUGAAGCUUCAUACGAUUGCAAUAAAGGUGGUGGUGUUGGAAUUCGACCUUAGAGAUAAAAUUGAAAAUGAGAUAGAAUUAGGAGUUUGAAGAUUCUUUGGAAUAUAAAUUAUAAAAUAACUAUAUUUGUGAUGUGUACACUCAAUACAAAUAAUGGAUUAAUUUACUACACUACUUCUAACCAUUUUUAGAUGCAUCACAACAACUUUUAAGUUGUAAUCUAUUGAAGGAAACUACUACUAUCUUCUAGAGAAAUUUUUAUUUCCCUUACUUAAAAGUAAAAUGGGAUUGCAUAAAUGUAUAAAAAAUAGAAGGAAAAAAAAUAUCAAACUUUAUUAUAAAAGAGAUAACCAGAAUACAAAGAUUGGGGUAGAGUCAAGUUUCCAAAUUCUAUAGGCAUAAUUCCCUCCAAAGAGUUGUCAUGCAAUGAUAAAUACAUCAACUCUUUACACUUGAAUAAGCUAUUUGAAAUUCUACUGAAAUUUGAUUAUGUGUGAAGCUCAAUAAUUGCAAUUUAGAAAUGUUAUCAAACAUGAGAUGAUUAGUUUUGAAACUAAUUUUUUAUCGGUGAGAAAUUAUAUAAGAUUUACACAUGUAAGGAUCUUAACCUAAGUAAGAAUUAUUAUGAAAAUAUAACCAAAUGAAGCUUGAAAAAUUCUUCGCUAUUAUAGGAAUCUGCCAUUCUAAAUCAUUGUUAUAUAAUAUCAACUGUUAUAAGAAAUGAUAUUAUACUUGUUAUGUUGUUAUUAGAAAGAUUUAUGAUCUCGAGAGUAGUCAAAUUGUUAAUAGCCGAAAGGCUUUCACCUAAAACAUAUAAUCAAAUUUGUCAAAAUAGCUUGAUGAUAGAACCCAUGCACUUUAUUUUUUUCUGUAAUUAGAGAGAGAAGUCAUGUACCUUGUUUCUCUUAUAUUAAACUUAUGGCUGAAAACAGUUUUAGAUUGUUUUCUCAAAAAUACUUACUUAUAUUCUUUGACUCAUCUUUAGAUUGUGUUUAUUGUUAUCCCCUUCUUCACUAACACUCAUCAUCAUCAUCUUUCUUGAUAAGCGAAUUUCUAAGUUUUGAAAUAUAUAAAACAAACAGUGACCAUUAAUAUAUUGCCCAAAAUCUCAAAAUCAUUUAACACGAAGAAAACCAUUACUUUGAUUAAUUUAAGCCGAGAACAAACAACAAUUGUGGGUGAACCCAAAGAAAAAUGAUGGAUCAAAAGCCAAGAUGAAGAAGCCAAUUUCUACCAUAAGGUUUUGUAUGUAGGUAUAAGGCAAAUCAUAAGGAGAGGAAUAACUAAAUUUAAUAAAUUUUAAUCAUUCUUCAAUAUCUUUAAAAUUUUCAUUCCAAGGAUGUAGGCACAACAUCCCUUGAUUAUAAUGUAAAAUUUCCAAUUUCCAUAGGGAUACUUCCACCCAAAGAGUUGUUAGAGAAUGAUAAAAAUGUUAACUCUUUGCACUUGAUUAAACUAUUUGGAAUUCUACCCGAAAUACAUUCAUUACAUAUUUAUUUUUGCAUAUCUCGUUUUAUUUACUCUCACUAGACAUUUUAUAUAUAUAUAUAUAAAUUAUUAAAUAUUAAAUUUCAUAUAUAUAAAAAAAUCCACAUAUUACUUAUUUUAUUAAUACAUAAACAGUAAAUCGUUUAAAUGAUUUCAAGUUUAAAAAAACAAUAUAUUUUAGAUUUUAUGUGAAUUCUUUUAAGUUCAAUAUUCAAAUUAUUCAGAUUUCCAUCAUCAAAGUUGAAUAGUUUGUAAUUCAAAUUAUUGCUCUCUUUUUACUUGUACCAACAUUUCCUAUAUUUUUCUUAUGUUAAAAUUGUCAAAGUAUUAAAUAUAUAAUUAAUUGGAGAGAAGUCAAAAGCUAAUUAAUAAUAUAUAGGGAUUGCAUAAAAGUAACAACAAAAAGAAAAAGAUAUAUGAAAUUAUACCUGAUAAGUUGUUAUUAGAAAGUCCAAUAAUUUGGAGAGUGGUCAAGUUUUCAAUAGUUGAUGGGAUUUCACCUAAAAAUAUAAAAUAAUUAAUGCUUAGUAUUUUUGUUCAAAUAUAGGAUACAUCAUCGAAGCUGAACAAAUAUAUAUUAAAAAGGGUAUAAAGUAGGUUCUAAUUAAAAAUCAAACCUUAAAUUGAUUUAAUGUAAAAUUUAAUUCUUUUCUUAUCACCAAAUAAAUUUACUUUUAGUAAAUUAGGAGUUUUAAUAAAAUACUUGUAAGAACUGAUUGUUUUAUGACUAGGUGUUUUGUUUUCAAUAUAUUGUUUACUUUUAGUUGUUUUGAACAAUUAAAAAGGGAUUGCAUAAAUGUAACAACUAAAAAAUAAUAAGUUGUUAUUAGAAAGACUAAUGGCUUCGAGAGUGGUCAAGUUUUCAACAGUUGAUGGGAUUUCACUUAAAAAUAUAAAUAAAUAGGUCAAAAUAUCUUGGUGCUAGAAUUAUGUUAUCUUUGUGUGUGUACUUUUUUUAAAUUUAUGUUUAAUGUAGAUAGCUAACUUAGAAGUAACUCAAAAUAUAGAGAAAUUUUAAUAAAUACUCGAACACAGUUGAACUUUUGACAAUUUAUAACUCAAAUUUGUUUCUUAUACUCAAAAUACUUGCCCUAUUUUUUUAAGCUAAAAGUAAUAUAUUAAGAAACUAAAAAAAUUGUAAAGCUAAUUAAUAAUAUGGAACAACAACUAAAAGGAGUUACAUAAAUGUAACAACAAAGCAAAAGAAAAUUUUUGAUGAAAAAAAUGAUAUUAUAUCUGUUUAAGAAGUUAUUGGAAAGAGUAAUGUACUUGAGAGAAAUAAGAUUUCUAAAAAUAGAUGAAAGAACAUAUAAUUAAUAAUUUAUAUAUUCUAUUUUGAUGAAAAAACAGUCUCUAUUUUUAAUUACUUCAAAAUAUUGCAUAAAUUUAAUAACAAAAUGGAGAAUAAAAGAAACAUGAAAUUAUACCUGUCAAUUUAUUAUUGAAAAGAGAAAGUAUUUGGAGAGAAGUCAUGUUUCCAAUAACAAGAGGAAUUUUACCUGAAACAUAUAAUUAAAUCAGUAAAUAUAUAAUUAUUUUUAUUAAUUAUUUUAAGAGUUUAAUAAAGCAAAUCUAAAAGGUAGAAGAAAUAGCUAAUUAGAAGUAGUGUGUGAUUCAAAAGGGUAUAAAGUAGGUCCAAAUUAAAAAUCAAAUUUUAAAAUAAUUUAAUGUAAAAUUUAACUCUUUUCUUAUCACAAAUAAAUUUACUUUCAGAGAAAUUAGAAGUUUUAAUAAAAUAGUUGAAAUAAGUGAUUGUUUAUGACUAGGUGAAAAUUAGAUGAAAAAAACAUAUAAUUAAUAAUUUAUAUAUCUAUUUCUCUCAUACUAUGAACUAUGGUCGAGCAAAAAUUAAUAAAAAAAAUCAAACGGAUAGAAAUAGCUUAGUUAGAAGUUUGCAUAUCUCAUUUUAUUUUAUUUACUCUCACUAGACAUUUAAUCUUUUAAGGUAACUUUUGUUUUAUUUACUUAAAAAAUUGCAUAAAUUUAAUAAAAAAAAGAGAAUAAAAGAAAUAUGAAAUUAUAUCUGUCAGUUUGUUAUAGCUAAGAUAAAGUGAUUGGAGAGAAGUUAAAUUUCCAAUAACAAGAGGAAUUUCACUUGAAACGUAUAAUUAAAUCGGUCAAAAUUUACAAAUAUUUUCCUACCAAGCCCUUAAUUUAUUUGUUGAGCAUAUUAGUGUCUGUUUCAUUUACCUAUUUUUAAAUAUGCAAAUUUAAUUUAGUCUUAUAAUAAUAUGAGUAAUAUUGGGCUCCAACCACAAUACACUGUAAAAAAUGAAAGCCAGAAAAAUGCAAGACUGCAUGUCUACACCAUAUUAUUUUUAUAAAUAAAAGAGUAAUCUCUCUCUAUAUAAAUAAAUGAGUUGGGUUGGAUUCCAUUUAAUUGAAAAUGAGUUGGAUUGGCUGAUUAUUUGAUUUUGGGUUAAAUGAAAAUCAACUUCAGCCUGGAUGUAGGUAUUGGGUUUAAUGUAACUUAUAUAAAGAGUUUAGUAUGUCGCUUUAUUUGACUUAUUUGGUUUGGACACUCAAAUUUGAAAUUGAUCAAUUAAACCAAUAGAAUUGAGUCUCAACUAAAUAAAGUGAAAACUCAACUAAAUAGAAUUGGAUUAAAGUGAUUCAAUUAAUCAAAUUUUCACAUACUUAUAACUAUCGUGAUUCAUUCAUAUUAUUAUUCUCAUACUAUAAUCAUGUUAUGUAAUAAAAUUGUGUAAUAAAGUACUUGAUUUUGUUUUCCUAACUUGAUGUAUUUGGAAAGAUCGAAGCUUUUUUCUAUUUUAGGGUGUCUCUUGGAGCACAGGUGAGAUUAUUAAGAUAUUAUAUAUUUUGGGCAAAAUAGUUUGUUUCUUUUCAUAAGGAAGACAUUUCUAGACAAAAAGAACAAAAGUUAGCAGUUGAGAUGUCAGAAAGUUGGAUCAAUCUUUGCACUGAUGGGGCGGUCCAAAUUGCCCUGGGUGAUUCUAAAGCGGGGGAAGUCAAAAGAAAUGGAAAAAGGGAGUGGAUUAUGGGAUACAACAAAAAUCUAGGCAAAUGCUCAGCCUUCAAUGCUGAACUAUGGGUAGUUCUUGAUGGAUUAGCUCUCAUUCACAAAGGGCGCUAUGAUGGUGUAUUGAUACAAACUGAUAGCUUGGAGGUGGUUAAAGCCAUUCAGGACUCCUCUCCCUCAAGCUUGAAUUCUACCCUCAUCAGACGUAUAAAUGUACGUUCAUGGGCCAUUCAACAUUUUCCUAGAGAACAUAAUAAAGUUGCCGAUUGCUUGGCCAAAAUGGCCUUUGAUACGAAUAUGUCACUUUAGUUAAUUAAAUCAAGAACAAAUAUAGUUAUGGAUGAACAAAUAUGGGAAGCAAAGAAAAAUGAUGGAUCAAAAGGGAAGAAUAAGCUAAUUUCUGCCAUAAGGUAGAUGGUGAACUUAGGAUGUGGAGUUCAAAUUAUUGAUAUUUUUCUUAUUCUUAUAUUUUUCUAAUUUUAAAGUAGUUAAAGGAUUAAAUGUGUAAUUAAUUGUUUUAAGCCAAAAGUAUUAUAGUAAUAUAAAAAGAAAAUAUGAGUAUAUAAAGAAAUACUCAAAUUUGUUUCUUAUACUCAAAAUGUUUACACAUAAGACACAAUAAUAUUUAUAACUUUUUGUAAUGAAAUAAUAUUCAAAACUUCAACUUUAUUUGGAAGAAAAAUUGGAAAUAAAUAAUAUUUGCUAUACACAUGAAUGAUUAGUAGAGUUUAAUUAUAUAUAUAUUUUUUAUAUUUUAAUAUUUAAUAAAAUUACAUCUUUUAAUUCAAAAAGAUAUUUUAAUCAACCGUUUUAUUAGUUUUCGAGUUCAGGCGUAUAUAUAUAAUAUAUAUGUCGAGCUAGAAAUAGUACAAAAAGUUGACAUUUUUUGAAAGUAUGAUAAUUUGAAUAGAAGUAACAUAUACUAAUGUGGAGCAAUUGUUCCAUAUAAUCCUUUUUAUGAUGAAAUGAUUGCUUAAUUUACUUCAUAACUUCUUACAUUUAGACAUAAUNNNNNNNNNNNNNNNNNNNNNNNNNNNNNNNNNNNNNNNNNNNNNNNNNNNNNNNNNNNNNNNNNNNNNNNNNNNNNNNNNNNNNNNNNNNNNNNNNNNNUAAAUUUAAUAAAAAAAAGAGAAUAAAAGAAACAUGAAAUUAUACCUGUCAAUUUGUUAUAGCUAAGAUAAAGUGAUUGGAGAGAUGUCAAGUUCCCAAUAACAAGAGGAAUUUCACCUAAAACAUAUAAUUAAAUCAAUAACUUUUAUUUUAUUUACUUAAAAAGAUUGCAUAAACGAAACAUGAAAUUGUACCUGUAAAUGUAUUAUUGUAAAGAGAAAGUGUUUGGAGAGAAGUCAAGUUUCCAAUAACAAGAGGAAUUUCACCUGAAACAUAUAAUUAAAUCAGUAACUUUUAUUUAUUUACUUAAAAAGAUUGCAUAAAUUUAAAAACAAAAAGGAGAAUAAACGAAACAUGAAAUUGUACCUAUAAAUUUAUUAUUGUAAAGAGAAAGUGUUUGGAGAGACGUCAAGUUUCCAAUAACAAGAGGAAUUUUACUUGAAACAUAUAAUUAUCAAAUAAAUUUUCUUAAUAAAAUACUUUUAGUGCAAUUAGAAGUCUUACUUAUAAAUGGUAAUUUUUAUUAACAAUAAAAAAAUAUUUAUCUUUGUCAAAAAAAAAAAACACUAAACACAAAAUACUUGUUAUUAUCAGAUAAAUUUUUAUUAAUAAUAAGAGGAAUUUCACCUAAAACAUAAAAUUAAAUCAGUAAAUAUAUAAUUAUUUUUAUUAAUUAUUUUAAGAGUUUAAUAAGGCAAAUCUAAAAGGUAGAAGAAAUAGCUAAUUAGAAGUAGUCUGUGAAUCAAAAGGGUUUAAAGUAGGUCCAAUUAAAAAUCAAAUCUUAAAAUAAUUUAAUGUAAAAUUUAACUCUUUUCUUAUCACCAAAUAAAUUUAGUUUUAGAGAAAUUAGAAGUUUUAAUAAAAUAGUUGAAAUAAGUGAUUGUUUAUGACUAGGUGAAAAUUAGAAGAAAAAAAACAUAUAAUUAAUAAUUUAUAUAUCUAUUUCUCUCAUACUAUGGACUAUGGUGGAGCAAAAAUUAAUAAAAAAAAUAAAACGGAUAGAAAUAGCUUAGUUACAAGUUCAAUGUUAAUUCAAUAAAUUUUUAAAAAAAAAAAACACAUUGUUUCCAAAAGGGUAAGAAAUAUAUCCAAAUUAUAAUUUAGAUCAUAAAUUAAUUUAAUGUAAAAUUUAAAUAAAGUUUAAAAUUUUUGUUAUUAUCAGAUAAAUUUUCUUAAUAAAAUACUUUUAGUGAAAUUAGAAGUCUUACUUAUAAAUGGUAAUUUUUAUUAACAAUAAAAAAAAAUAUUUAUCUUUGUGCCAGAAAAAAAUACUGCAUAGAUCAUGAAAAGGAAAAAACUAAAACAUCCAAAAAAAUAUAUGUAAAACACUGAACACAAAAUUCAUAGUUGUAUAGGAGGAUUAGAUACAUUGGUCCCAUAAUGAAGAAAUCAUCACUUCAUUUAAUUAAAGCAAGAACAAAUGAAGUUAUGGAUGCACAAAUAUGGGAACCAAACAAAAAUGAUGGAUCAAAAGGGACGAAUAAGUUAAUCAAUCAUUUUUAUUAGUUUUCGAGUUGAGGCUUUUAUAUAUAUAUAUAUAUAUAUAUAUAUAUAUAUAUAUAUGCAGAGUUAGAAAUACUACAAAAGGUUGAUAUUUUUUAAAAGUAUGAUAAUUUGAAUAGAAGUAACAUAUGCUACUGUGGAGUAAUUGUUCCAUAUAAUCCUUUUUAUGAUGAAAUGAUUGCUUAAUUUAUUUCAUAACUUCUUACAUUUUUUAAAUGCAUUAAUAAUGACUCUAAGGUUUUAAUCUUUUAAGGUAACUUUUAUUUUAUUUACUUAAAAAAUUGCAUAAUUUUAAUAACAAAAAGGAGAAUAAAAGAAACAUGAAAUUAUACCUGUCAAUUUGUUAUUGCCAAGAUCAAGGAAUUGGAGAGAAGUCAAGUUUCCAAUAACAAAAGGAAUUUCACCUGAAACGUAUAAUUAAAUCAGUAAAUAUUUGUAAAUAUUUUCCUAGCAAACCCUUAAUUUAUUUGUUGAGCAUAUUAGUGUCUGUUUCAUUUACCUAUUUUUAAAUAUGCAAGUUUAGUUUAGUCUUAUAGUACUUAUGAUAACCCAAAAAUAUUUUAAUUAUAAUACUCAAAUUAAAUAUAAAAUUAGAAAAUAUUUAUUUUUGUUCCAGAAAAAAACACCGCAUAGAUCAUAAAAAGGAAAAACUAAAACAUCCAAAAAAAAUAUGUCAAACACUAAACACAAAAUUCAUAGUUGUAGAGGAGGAUUAGAUACAUUGGUCCCAUAAUAUGUCACUCAAAAUCUCAAAAUCAUCCAACAAAAAGAAAUCAUCACUUUAGUUGAGGCUUACAUAUAUAAUAUAUAUGUUGAGUUAGAAAUACUACAAAAGGUUGACAUUUUUUAAAAGUAUGAUAAUUUGAAUAGAAGUAACAUAUGCUAAUGUGGAGUAAUUGUUUCAUAUAAUCCAUUUUAUGAUGAAAUGAUUGCUUAAUUUACUUCAUAACUUCUUACAUUUAGACAUAAUAAUGAGGUUUUAAUCUUUUAAGGUAACUUUUAUUUUAUUUACUUAAAAAGAUUGCAUAAAUUUAAUAACAAAAAGGAGAAUAAACGAAACAUGAAAUUGUACCUGUAAAUUUAUUAUUGUCAAGACCAAGUGAUUGGAGAGAAGUCAAGUUUCCAAUAACAAGAGGAAUUUCACCUGAAACAUAUAAUUAAAUCAAUAACUUUUAUUUUAUUUACUUAAAAAGAUUGCAUAAACGAAACAUGAAAUUGUACCUGUAAAUUUAUUAUUGUAAAGAUAAAGUGUUUGGAGAGAAGUCAAGUUUCCAAUAACAAGAGGAAUUUCACCUGAAACAUAUAAUUAAAUCAGUAACUUUUAUUUUAUUUACUUAAAAAGAUUGCAUAAAUUUAAAAACAAAAAGGAGAAUAAAUGAAACAUGAAAUUGUACCUAUAAAUUUAUUAUUGUAAAGAGAAAGUGUUUGGAGAGAAGUCAAGUUUCCAAUAACAAGAGGAAUUUUACUUGAAACAUAUAAUUAUCAAUAAAUUUUCUUAAUAAAAUACUUUUAGUGCAAUUAGAAGUCUUACUUAUAAAUGGUAAUUUUUAUUAACAAUAAAAAAAUAUUUAUCUUUGUCAAAAAAAAAAACACUAAACACAAAAUACUUGUUAUUAUCAGAUAAAUUUUUAUUAACAAUAAAAUUGAAAAUUUUUGUUAUUAUCAGAUAAAUUUUCUUAAUAAAAUACUUUUAGUGAAAUUAGAAGUCUUACUUAUAAAUGGUAAUUUUUAUUAACAAUAAAAAAAUAUUUAUCUUUGUGCUAGAAAAAAACACCACAUAGAUCAUAAAAAGGAAAAAAACUAAAACAUCCAAAAAAAAAAUGUCAAACACUAAACACAAAAUUCAUAGUUGUAGAGGAGGAUUAGAUACAUUGGUCCCAUAAUAUGUUACUCAAUCUCAAAAUCAUCCAACAAAAAGAAAUCAUCACUUUAGUUAAUUAAAGCAAGGACAAAUAAAGUUAUGGAUAAACAAAUAUGGGAAGCAAAGAAAAAUGAUGGAUCAAAAGGGACGAAUAAGCUAAUUUCUGCCAUAAGGUAGAUGGUGAACUUAGGAUGUGGAGUUCCAAUAAAUACCUAAACAUACCUAAACUUUUGGCAAUACAAAAUCAAAUUCUAGUGGUUAAAAUUAUGAAAUGAGUAAUUAUUAUUUUUACAGCAAAAAAUAUGAGUAUAUAAAGAGAAAAAAAACAUAAAAAUGUAAAGCAAUAUAAAAAGAAGUUUUAAGGUAAGUAGGUUUGUUAUUUUUAAGAAUAUUAGUAAAGCAGGACAUAUGGUUUUGCUUAUAUAAGAAGUUGUUUCAUGCGAUGGAGAAAUGCAUAGGGAUGUCAUAUUACCCAUGUUUGCAUCUAAAUAUUUGAGUCUUAUUUGUAUUAAGAAAUAUAUUAUUUGAAAGAGUUUAAUAUUUUUAAGCUGUCUAAUAAUAAAUAAAUUAAUCAAAGAAAAAAUAAAGCAUCUAAAAAUAUAUGUCUUAUACCAAUAUUCUUAUAUUUGUCUAAUUUCAAAGUAGUUAAAGGAUUAAAUGUGUAAUUAAUUGUAUUUUUAAAACGGCAGUUAUUUUUAUUUUUAUAUUUGUUUAUUUUUUUAUUUUAAAAAAAUAUAUUUAAACUUCGCAAAAUGAAUGGAUAUAUUUGAACACGAAAUAUGAUACGAUAAUUUAGUGAGAAUGAAACAAAACAAUGGCAGAAAAAUGAUAUGAUGACAUUAAAUGGAAAAUAAGCGAAUGACUAAAUAAGUAAGUAAAUAAAGGAGAAUAAGAAGAAAAAGACCAAAAAAAAUUGCUAUGCUAAUGAAUAAUAUCAAUAUUUCUAUGAUGAUAACAAAACAACGAUUAAACGAUAAUCAUGUUGUGGUUAUUAUCUUAGUAUUAAAUUGAAUAAAUAAUAAUGACAAGAACAAAGAAUAAAAUAGAAUAAUAUGUGCAAAUGAAGGAUUGAAUUGAAAUCUAAAUAGAAUUAAAGGCACAAAUCAUAAUAAAUUAAAUAAAAAAUUGAAUAAGGGCUAAAAUUGAAUGUGCGAAAAGGGACGAGGACUAGAUGAGAAAUUAUUCCUAGUCCUACAAACGUGCCGUUUCAUGAUGGAUUGAAACGAAACAAAACCAAAAUCGCAGGGGAAAAUUAAAAAGAAAAAAAGAAGUAGGACUAAAUUGAAACAGACCAUAAAAGCAGAAGGGUUAAAAGCAUAAAUAUCCUCUCCAAGCAAAAACAAGCGGAUCCUAGGGGAUGAAUCGGGUCGCGUCAAAACAAUGCUAUUUUGGCGUCCAUGAGCAACGGCUCAAAAUGGUGCCGUUUCAUACACCUAUUUAAACCAAAAUUUUUUAAAAAAACUUUAUUUCUGCCAAAUUUUAGAAGAAAAAAAAAACUCGAAAGCCCUUUUUUUUUCUCGGGCCUCAAGUCCGGCCAUCAAGCGCCGCCGAGGCUCUGCUUAAAUGUGUACUUAAUUGUUUUUAAGCCAAAAGUAUUAUAGUAAAAAGUUAAAAGAUUGUAAAGCUAUUUAGUAAUAUAAGCACGAUUCUGUUAUAAGUAUUAUGACAGUAACAACAAAAAGGAAAAUAAAGAUAAUAUUAUACUUUUUAAGUUGUUAUUAAAAAGAGUGAUGAUCACGAGAGAAGUAAAGUUUCCAAUAACCGAUAGAAUUUCACCUAAAACAUAUAAUUAAAAUCAUUAAAAUUUACUAACAGAUCUUAAAUUCGUUAAAACUCAGCUGAUUGAGGAUUGUAUUUUGCGAGGCUGUGGGAGUUGUGUGAAGAAGAAAAAGAUGGAAUGGCAGUGGGUCAAUGCGGGUAGGUAUAAAUCUGAAACAUAUAAUAUCAACUAUGUACUAUGUAAUCAAAGUUACGAGAAAUCAUGUACUCUAUUUCUUUCCUAUUCAAGAAUAUCAACACAUAAAUAAUAAGGAUAGAAAAAAUAGCUAAUUACAAGUCUUGUGUGAUUCAAAAGGGUAUAAAGUAGGUCCUAAUUAAAAAUCAAACCUUAAAUUAAUUUAAUGUAAAAUUUAGCUCUUUUCUUAUCACCAAAUAAAAUUACUUUUAGUGAAAUUAGAAGUUCUAAUAAAAUACUUGUAAUAACUGAAUGUUUAUGACUAGGUUUUUUGUUUUCAACGUAUUUUUCUAAAAAUUUGCCUUAGAAAAAUAGUCUCUAUUAUUUUUAAGAAUAUUAUAAAAGCAAGAUAUGCCGCUAAGAGAAGUUCCUUUAAGUAUUUUUUCUCGGCCAAAAUAAAAGAGAACUGACGAAAGCGGUUAGUAAAACAUGAGAUGCUAAAUACAGACACAUGCCAGAAUAGGAAGGAAAAUUACAAACAAACUCCUAAACCAAAUAAUUGGUUGAUGGCUCAAUUCACAUAAAUAAUAUAUAUAUAUAUAUAUAUACUGUACGAUUAAGUUUGGUUUUGCUAGCACUGAACUUAGUGGUUAUUGUUUAAAGCCCCGCUUCACUAUUUAAAACAACUGUUGAUGGAAAUUAGAUAAAAAUGAAUGAAACGAUAAUUGUUUACCUUUGAGGUGGUUGUCACCAAGAGACAAAGUCUCGAGCAAAGUCAAAUUUCCAAUUUCUGUAGGUAUACUUCCCUCCAAGGAGUUGUUAAACAAUGAUAAAAACUUCAGCUCUUUGCACUUGAAUAAACUAUUUGGAAUUCUACCGGAAAUUUGAUUCCAACCCAAGCUCAACCUUUCUAGUUUUGACAAAUUGCCUAGAGUAGAUGGGAUAACACCAAUGAAGUUGUUAAGGUACAGAGACAAUCUUCGAAGUUUACUGAAGCAACCAAACCAUGGUGGGAUUUCUCCAUUGAAGCUAUUGUUACCUAAGUCCAAAUAAUUCAUCCGACGCAAAUUAGUUAACUCAAUGGGUAAAGAGCCUUGGAAACUAUUUUGAUGAAUAUCGAGCCAAGCAAGGAAAGAUAGAUUUCCCAAUUGAGAAGAAAUGGUGCCUGUGAGAUCCAUGCUUGACAAAUUCAGAGCAGUGACUCUAUGGUGUCUAGAUCCACAUGUGACACCAAUCCAGCUACAAACGGAGGUAGAAGUAGACCAAUUGGUUGCCAAAAAAUUGUGAGGAUCAUGAGUUAUAUGAGAUUUGAGUGCUAGAAGAGCAGAUUGAUCAACGGUGAUGCUAGAAUAUUUUGCAGACAAAAUAACCCCAAAGGUUGCGAAUAGCAGCCCAAACAUAAACGGAGGGAGGAAGCUUGGUUUUGCCAUAAGGUUGGAUAUGGGUGUAAGGCGCAUAAGGAGAGAAACAACCGAGUUUAAUACAUUUCUAAUGUUAGUUCAAUAUUCUUUAAAUACUUUAAUUUGAUUGUAAGGAUUUAGGUAAGGCAUCCAUUGACUCAUAAUUUGAGUAAGAAAUUCGUAUAAUCUUGUUGGUCCAACCAUGUUAUAGAGAAAAAAAAGGAAAGCCUAAAAUAGAAGACUUAGUCUGAAGUUGAAGAGUAGCAUUAAUAAUUCGAUUGUAGGUUUGAGAAACCCAGGAGCCUUUUAUAGGUUUAAGUUUUUACUAGGAGGAAAAAAUUUAAGAUGUAGAAAAUUUUUAUUAUUAUUAAAACUAUUAUCAAAUGCUUAUUUGACGCAAGUUCAAAUUGUGUGAUCUCAUUUUAUAUUCCAAUGACAAAUUGAAUAAUUAGUGAGUUUAAUUUUAAAUUUUUUUAUUUUUAAUUAAUACAAAAAAUCUCAACUCAAAUUUUAAAUUAAAAAUUAAAAGUACUUUGUAAGUUUAUAGCACUUGUAAGUCUCAUUUCAUAAAUUACGUAAGCUAAAUUUAGCAAAAUCUUAUAUUUGAUUAUGAAAGUAGUAUGUUGUCUUACAUAAGCUAAAUUUAGAGUUGUUUGGAUUUUAUACUCAACUAAAUAAUUAAUAUCUUAUUUUUUGAGUGUAUAGAUUACAAAUGUUGUAGGAAUGUAUCCUUUGAGAUUGUUUGAUUCUAGUUUUUGACAAAUUGCUCAAAGUUGAUGGGAUAAAAUAAGUGAAUUUGAUGGUGUUCGGAAACAAGCUUCGAUGUUUAGUGAGAUUAAAAUUUGUUGGCAAAUUAAAUUACUCAAUGGGUUUCGAGGGUCAUGCUUGUUCCCUAUCAACCCAAGUACUACUAAGUCAGUACCCCUCUAAAUGGGGAGAACUUUGUUGAUCUUUCAUUGGUUUAAAAGUCCAAAUACCAAUUGUAAGGUAUCAAAACAACAAAGACAAGUAUUGGGGACCAGCUGAAGAGAGUGAGUGACACGGUUUGAUUUAGAGUCUCAUGAUUGCAACAUGUUUGAUCGUGAUCCUCAACUUUGGUUGUAAUGUCUAACAAAAUAAAUACCAAGAUGAAAAGACCCUUUUUCUAUAAAAUCUAAAUAUCUAGUUUUGAAGACAUGCCUUUGGUUCUCAUCUCUUACUUGUUCUGCACGGCUAAGUCGCAGUUGCUUCGAUGGACCUAUGUUGGAAUCAUGAAUUGAAAAGAAUGCCAACAAGUAAUAGAAACUUUGUAAUAUUCAGAUAGAUCAAAUUAAGCUUUGUGUGGACCAUUCGUGAUUGAAGCCAGUUCUGCCCUGGAUUAUUAUAGAUCAAAUAAUUACUUUGGCAACCUUGAAUUUAACAAUCUAAUCAUUAAAUUUAACAAUAUAAUUAUAGUUGCCUUGCAUUUAAAAUUUUGAAUUGAUCUGAUGUAUCAUUUCAGUCCAAAACUUUAUUUAUUUCGUAUAUAUUAUAUAAAGCAAAGUUUUUAAGUUUUUUUAAUGUAACUAAGUAAGCAUGUUUCUUCUGCCGCGAGUCAAAUGUUUACAGCAAUUUUAGCCAUAUCGUACAUUUUAUAUCAUUAUAUUGUUGCCUUAAUUAAAGUAGAAUAAUAUAUAUUUCCAUAAGUUUUAAAAAAAUAUCAUAAAUUUCCAUUGGGAAUUUGUUGGUGCAUUCUAAAUCACAUAAUAAUCAGAAAUAUGGAAGAUUUCCAUAUAUUCUCGCUUUUUAGUAUAAUUAAUAAUAAUAAAUCUUGUUGAUUCUGGUCUGCCUUUACUAUGAAAAAAAAAUUUAUAAAAUUAGAACCGUAAAAUUCAAGUAAAUCAAUUUUGGAAACCCUAAAUUAUAAUCUUCAUUUAUCUCUUUUGCAUAACAUCCAUCUAGUUUUGAGAAAUCUUCACUUUUAAUUUCAAAAUUGUAAUCAAAUAGUUUUAUCCAAUUAAAUAAUAAUAAUAUAUGGCUAUGGUGAUGUCUGUAAUUUCAUAAAAUAAUUACUCUAAUCUAAUCCAUGUCUCUUUCUUUUUUUCUUUUUUUGAACUUGCUAAUCCAUGUCUCUUUCAUUCUGUGUUUAUUAGGCAAUAAAUUCCUUUCGAUUUCAAAUUAGUUAAAGAAAAUUUGUGAUGUUAUACUUAAAUUGAAUCUUUUGUGGCUACUUAACAAUGAAGCGGCUUUGUGUUAGGAUUUUAAUAACGCUGCAAUGCCUGGCUACUCGCGGUUUUAAUUCUUUUAAUUCUUUUGUUGUGCGAAAAGAACAUGAUUAUAUUGUCCAAUGAAUUGUGUAAGUCAAGAUGUUUGCGAUUUGCUAAUGCAUGGAUUGAAUACCAACAAGGAAUCCUUAAACCCCUUCUUCUUCGUUUGAGGUAAUGGAUUAAACUGUGGAGAAUAAUUAAUAAUUAUACCACUUUUUACCAACAAGGAAUCCUUAAACCCUUUCUUCUUUGUUUUCUUAAAGCAUUGAUAGAUAGAAUUAUUUCUAUUCAAUCUCUUUGGUGGUGUAGGAAAAGGAUAUGAUUGUUCAAUAAUGAAUUGCGUAAGUCAAGGUUUUUGUAAUUUGUACGGAUGCGUGGAUUGAAUGAAUAGCGACAAGGUUUUUGUAAUUUUGUAAUUCUCUUCUGUUCCUUAAGCUAUAAAAUUUUAAUUUCUACUUUUGACUAUAUGCCUUUGGUUCUCAUCUCUUGUUAUGUAUGGCUGAGUCGCCGUUCGUUGGAUGGACCGACAUUCAAAACAUGAAAUGACAAGACAAGUAAUGUGAAACGUAUUUGAUUGAGAUCCUCAAUUUAUUUUCCAAACAUGAAUUCAAAGAAUCACCAUUUUUUUCAAUAUCUAAUUUGAAAAUUCGUCACAUCGAAACAAAUCAAGUUGAACUUUCCACAAGAUAAGAUCUCUUUUAAGACCGCAUGUGUGGACCAAUAUACAGGAUUCAACUAAAGAUGAGAUGAUUUUUCAGCUCUCCAUUGGUUAGAGCAACUGCCACCUCUAUCGUUUUCAUCUUAAAUUGAAAUAAAUUUCCACUGAUUAGACUCGUUAUUUUGUGUCUAUCUGCAAUUUGAAUGGGAUAACCAACGAAAGGGGGGAGGAGCAUUUGAUUUUUUCCAUUUACACUCUUUUCUUUUCUUUUUCUUUUUUUUUUUGAAAAAAAAUUGUGGCUCUAAACGAUCAUUUCUACCUUAUUUUUAUUUAUAGUAAAAUUUUUUUAUUUGUUGCAUUUUGUGUUUUAUUUCAACCAUAACCCGAAUUCUAAAAAGAAAUUAAGCUCAAUUUUACAAUUUGAGUCCAAUUAAAAAUCAAGCUCUAUUGACAAUUAAGUUUUACGACCUUGUUUGUUUUCGCGCAAAACUUGUUCACUUUUAUCAUUAAUGAACAACCGCCCUUUUUAUUUGUUUAUAUAUAUACAAUUAAGAAAGCAAAUCCUAUGAUAAAGCUCAUAGGAUUCAUAACUCUCCCCUUCAACUAAAUUUUUGUUUUAUUUUUUGUGCAUAGUUUAACUUAUGAAUAGGUUUACUCUCACAUACGUGAUAGUAUUCUCAAUUUUAUAACCUUAUCAAGGCUUUUAAUGGCCACAUUAACAUUGUUGUUAAAUACAAAUGGACAACAUCAAUUAAGGGAUCUAUUUAGCUAGUUUUGUUAGUUUAGGUGCUCAAUUGGGUGCAAAAAAUUUGGAGGAGUUUAAUUGAUUUUUUGAAAAUGCUCGAGGCAUUAUUUUACCAAUAAGCCAAAAUUUUAACGAUUAACUAAAUUAAUAAAUAACCUAUAAUAUUUAAAAUAUAGUUUAAAAUAUAAUAAAUUAAUAAGAAUAUUCAAGCAAUUAUGAAUUUUUCAAAAUUAUAUAAAAUUCAAAAAUAUUAAUAUUUUAUUUUAUUUAAAAAAUUAAUAUGUGUAUCAAUGUUUUAAUUCUAUUGGUACAAUGUAUAUUAAACAAAAAUUAUUUUUAUAUAAAAUAAAUAAAUAAAAGUAAUUUUAAUUUUAUUAAUUGUAUGUAUAAUUUUUUGUAAUGUAUGAAUAUAUCCAAUUAUUUAAACCUUUUAAGCUUCAAAAUAAUUGAUAGAUCUUUUAGGCCACACAUGUAAUAAAAGAAUUGAUACAUUUUUCUAAUUGGAGAUAUUCAUACAUUACAAAAAACUUUACGCGUUAAUAAAAUUAAAAUAUUUAUAUUUAUAUUUAUUUUUUAUAAAAUAUUUUUUAUCUUUUAUACAUCUAAAAAGGUACCAAUAGAAUUAAAAUAUUAAUAUACAUACCAACUUUUUAAAAAAAAUUAAUUUUUAUAUUUUUAAACUUUAUAUAAUUUUAAAAAAAUCAUCUUGAAUGAAUCCAGAUAUAUGGUUACCUAGAUUAAAUAUAACUAUGGAUAAUCAUAUGUCUAGAUUCAUUCUAGACUCAACUUUUAAAUAAUUUUUUUAUUAAUUUUAAAUUUUUAAGAUUUAUUUAAUAUUUUAAUACAUUUUAAUAAUAAUUAAAAAAAUUAAAAAUAUAUUUUAAUUUUUCUCCCUUUAAAUAAUUUGGUCCCAAUGUCACUUGUCAUUCCAUCACCAUUGUUGUUAAUUACAGCAUCAGCUACUGAUAAAAUUCUAAGGCCCCAAAAAGCGAAUAAUUUAUAAAAAUUUAAAAAUUCUUUUUCCAAUCCUCUCUUUGUUGGUUGUUUUUGAAAUCAAGGUCUUUGUAAUUUACAUGAAAAGAAGUAUUUAUUGCUCUUUAAUAUCUUGCUUGUUUACGUGUCUAUUAAACAAGGUUUUCACGUAAGCGUUGUGGGGUACUUGAAAAUGUUCUCUUUUCCCACUCAAAUUAACUUUGAAUUUAAUAAUUGUAGACAACUAAUUUUGAUUAAAUUGAUUAAAUCUUUUCGUUACUAAAAUGUAAAACCAAGUUAGAGGCUUGCAAGACGUUGAACAAUGUCAAUCAAAACCAUGUUUUCGGGUUAUGAAGUCAAAUGUACAUUUUGUGAUUUGGCCCAUGCAUUCUCCACUUUAGUUUAAAGUUACUGUUAUCUUUCUCAUUCUUUUAUUUUUAUCUUAAUUUCCUUCCAUCAUUCUUUUCGGAUUUGCUUUUGGAUGUUGGAAACUUGGAGUACUUGGGCCUUACCAGCCCUCGGUUUCGGUCUUAUAGGAAAUUACAUGAGAUAUGAACAUUGUGAGAUUAAUGUGUUGACACCAUUUUUUGGAUGAAAAACGGGGUCGACUUGGGUUUUGAAAAAUGAAACGGGAGUCGCCACCAAUCCUUUUUUUAUGAGGUGUGAUUGGAUCACCUCGAAAAGUAGUUGUUUUUAAUAAACGGUUUGAUUUUAUUAAAACAACUAGUUUGGUCUACGAAAUUCAGAAAAACGGGUUCGGGAGUCGGUUACGCACGAGGAAUGAUUAGCACCCUCGAUACGCCCAAAAUUGGUACCUAGUUGAUUACUUAAUGUCUUAAUGUUGAAAAUUGAUAACUUUGAAGAAUUUUAAAAAUACGAUCCUUGUAUUAAAAUGUUGAAAAUUUUUGGAAAAAGAAGCAUAUUUCACGUUAAUCGAGAAAAGACAUCAUAUCCAGUAAGUUAGGAUACAACGUCUCGAAUUCUCGAUACUCGAGUGAAUGCUAAAAUGUUACCCCUUUUUAAAAUAUAUUUUAUUAUCUCGGGUUUAGAAAAUAAAUCUUGCCCAGUAAGUUAGGGCACGAUCUUUUCUUAACUUCCGAGAUCAUUUUAAAAAACUUCGAGUUUGAAAAGAUUCGUGUAUUUAAAUUUAUUGAGAAAGUCAAAACCCAGUAAGUUAGGGCACUGUUUUCUCGAAUCCAAACACGAAAUGUCAUUUUAAAAAUUAAAUUUUGUUACAUCGAAUAAAAUAAAACACGAAAUCAUAAUGAAAGCAAAUUACAUUUUUUAUGCAUGGCAAAAUCAUAAUGAAUAUGAAAGUAUAGAAUGAUACGAUCAAUAGCAAUCAAUAUAAACGGUCAAACUUACAACAUAUAAAAUAACAAAAUAUAAAAACGAAUAAAAUUAAAUCAUUCAUUCAAAAUAAAUAAUGAAAAUGAAAUAAAUAAAGAGUAAAUACAAUAAAAAAAAGAGAUAUAUAUGUGUAUAUAGGUAUAUAGAUAGUUUUAAGCUAUAAAGGAUAAAAAUAUGUGCAUAUAUGAGUCAUAAAAUAUAUAAAGAACAUAUAUAGAACACGUAUUUAAAAAUAUGAAGAAUAUGUAAGUGUAUGUAUAUAUAUUAUGAAAACAAGAUAUGUAUAUAGAUAUAUAGAUAUGUAUAUAAAUUAAAAUAUAAAGGUAUAAUUAUCUAUUUAUUAAAAUAAAAAUACAUACAUAGAUAUGUAUAAUAAUAUGAAAAUACAUAUGUAGGUAUAAGUAAAAUAUAUAUGUAAAAAAAAAAGGGAAAUAUAAUAUAUAUAUAUAUAAAUAUACAUGUUUAUAUAAUAUAUAUAUAUAUAAAAUAUACAUGUUUUAAUAUAUAUAAAAAUAAUAUAUAUAUGUAUAUAUGAAUAGGUAUAUAAAUAUUCGUGAAAGAAAAAGUAUAAGAGAAAUAACAGUAAUAUUAAUACUAACAAUAAUAGUAAUAAUAAUAACCAUAAUAAUAAUAAUAGUAAACUAAUAAUAAUAAUAAUAAUAAUAAUAACUAAAUAAUAAAAUUGCGAAAAUGUGGACUGAAUCGAAAUAAAAACGAGGUUAUUGGGCAAAAUCGAAAUAAGAAAAGGCAAAAAGGACCAAAUCAUGUAGCGCACUGAAAGAGGGGGACCAAAAUUGUAAAUAAACCAAGCAUUAAAACGCAGCGUUGAAAUGGAUCGUAAUGUAACAAAAAUAAAAUGACGGGGCUAAAUUAAAAAAUAACAGAAAAUAAUGAAAAGGGGCCGAAUUGAAGUACGCUGCAGAGUCAAGCGACUGCGCGCGCAAAUAUACCCUUUAAAGAAAACACGCGGAUCCUCCCCCUGGGUCGGGUCACGGCGCGGGUCAGAGACCAAAACGACGCCGUUUUGUUCUCUGAACCCUAAAUUCAAAAACGACGUCGUUUUACAGGGUAUUUAAACCCAAAUUUUCUGAAAAAAAUCACUUCAGCCACCGAAGAAAGAAAAAAAAAUUGAAAUAAAAAAAAACUCCCUCUUCCUCUCAAAAGUCCGGCCUUUGGGUCAUAUUAGCGCCGCCGUUGCGUCACGCCGGCCACCGUACAUGGUGGCCGAAAAAAUCAAAAAGGUAAUUUUUUUACUUCAAUAUGUUGUAUAUAUAUAUACACGUAUAUAGUUUAGAAAUAAAACAAAAAAAUAAAGAAAAAUCGAAUAAAAACAGUCCAAUAAACCGAAAAGAAAAUAAAAAUAAAAAUAAAGAGGACCUUUAGUAUUUUGUUUUUGAUCUACACUUUUUGUUGAUUUGCUGGAAUCCUUUUUUAGUUGAAAGAAAAAACAUCCCUUGUUACAAUGUUUACAAUCGGUUUUAUUUUACCGAAACAAAAACCAAAUACCCCCCCCCCCCCCGUUUACCAAUUACAAGCCUUUCUUGGUUUUUAUACAUGAUUUUUUCGAUUUUCUUGUUUCUGUUCUGCUGUUUGCGUGUGCUUCUUUCUCUUGCAGGUGGAGCAGGUGGCACAGGCGGCGACGUGACCGCGACGGUGGGCAGGUGCGAGGCAGAGCAAGUGGGCGACCCUAGGUGCGGCGCACCUAGGGUUAGGGUUACCCCUUUUUUGUUAUUUUCUGAUUUGGGCUGAUUGAGUCUAUUGGGCUGUUUUGGGCUAGGUGAUUUUUGUUGGGCUUGGGUAAAUUUAGGUUGUAAUUGGGUUUUGCUGGUGUGGGCAAAAUUGGGCUGGUACAUAAUGUAUGUUUUUUUUUAUUUACAAAAUAUUAUUGUAUGUUAUUGUAAUAUUUGAGGAAUUUUUUUUUAGAAUUGUAUCGAUAACCACCAAAGUUAUUGUGAGAAAGAUCAAUAACACUCAAAUGAGUGAAGAAAACUUCAAAGAUAUCCACUUGACCAUAAAAUCUAUUCCAUACUUCUAGUUUAUCCAAAUUUCUUAAUCAAUUUGAGAAACUGCCAUUUAAAUAGUUUUCCUCAACAUCAAGAAGGUUCAAAUCUUUGCAAUUAUUAUUUGAAUAGUUAAUCCAAAUGCUUCUACUUUGUUGUUGUUGAUCCAAAAAGUUUGCAAUGUGCAACCUUUAACAAAAUUUGAUGGUAUGUUAGCAUCAAAAUUAUUUUUUCGUAUAUCAAUGUGUAAAAGAGAACAACUUAGGUUUCCAAUGCACUGCAGAAUCACUCCUUUCAAAUUAUUCCUACAUAACUGAAGACUUAAAAAGAGAACUCAAUUUGUAUAUUAAUGAAGGAAUUUCUCCCUGAAAGAUUAUACCAAUGCAAUGAAAGUGGUGGAAUUGGAAUUCACCUUAAAAGAAAAUUUGGAAUAGAGUUAGAGUUAAGAGAUUGAAACCAAAAAAUAAUAAUAACUUAUAUUUGUAACGUAACACAUGCAUGAUGUGCAUAUCCAAUAAAAUUGAUUGGUUAAUUUACUCCACAGAAACUUCUAGCCAUUUUUCAAUGCAUAGAGAAUACCAAUCCAUCGGAAUUACUACCUUUCAUAUGUGUACUUUUUAUUUCUAUUACUCAUGUGUUAUGAGAAACACAAAAGUAAAAAAAAAAUUACUAAUAUUUUCUUACUAACCCAAAAGCUUUUAAUUAAUACAAUGAAAUACAAAGUUACAGUUUAAAGGAUAAAGCCCAUACCUAAUAUUAACCCUUAUUAAGAACCUCCCCAUCCUAUUUAAAGUCAACACUAAUAUUUGGACUAUUGGACGUUAAGAGUGUAUAUUACCUCAUACUUAUANNNNNNNNNNNNNNNNNNNNNNNNNNNNNNNNNNNNNNNNNNNNNNNNNNNNNNNNNNNNNNNNNNNNNNNNNNNNNNNNNNNNNNNNNNNNNNNNNNNNNNNNNNNNNNNNNNNNNNNAAAAAAAAAAACUAAUUAGUUUGUUUUUUUUUUGCAUUUAAAAAGGCUUUUUAACAUUUAGUGUCACAAUCGCAUGUAGUAGAAAAAAAAUUUAUUAAAUUUUAAUUAAAAAACUUUGCAAUGUUGAACCUUUAGCAUAAACAACAAAUUUACAUUGGCGACCUCUAUACAAAUAGCUACAGCACUUACCAGACAGAAACAAAUCGAAUUACAACUUUCCCAGAAAUCUCUAAAAUUUCCAAAUUUCAAAAGCCAUAAAAUAAUAUAUAAAACUACAGUUUCACCUUAAUCAAUAUAUUUCCAGAUUGUGAGUCAAAGUCGGGCUUUAGAUCGCUUCAAUAUUUCAAGUUUCAAUCAUUUUGAGGUCGACUCAGUUGAAUUUAAUAGUCAAGUUAGGAUCCUUGAAUAUUUAUAAUUCAAUUAUUGAAUUUUGAUUUACUUGUACCAAUAUUUCUUACAAUUUCUAACUCAAAUUUAGUUUAUGUAUUAAUAACAUUAGAAAAGAAUUUAUUUAACACAUAUGUUCUAAAAUAGUUAGAUAUAAAUUAAAAAAAUGUACAAAUUUAAACAUACAAUUAGAAAAAUAAGUAAAAUUAUUAUAAAAUAUAAUAUCUCUUCAAAAUAAGUGAAAAGUUUUUCUUUUCUUUACCACAAACAAGUCACGUGAGUGGCUAAAAAUUACUAAUUGUGAUUAGUUCGUAGAUAACAAAUUACUAAAACAUGUGGAAAAAUAAUAUUUCAACCAAACGUAGUGUCAACCUAUAAUUAUUUUUUCUAAUCCAAAAGGAUUAUUUUAAAAACUAAAAGAUUGUAAAGCUACUUAAUAAUGAGAAGGAUCUAUUUACGUUGGGCGUGUCCUUGGUCGUGUGAGUCCUGAGACUAAAAUUUUCCAAAUUUAACUUUUUCAUAUUUGUUUUUCUUUUCUUCUUCCUGUUUCCACUUUCGUUCUUUUAGUUUUUGCUACAGAUGUCUUUUUUGCCACUUUUUUCUUUUCGUUAUUCAAUUUUCCUUCCUCUUUUGUUUUCAUAUUUUGCACGUUGCCGGACUUGCGCCUGUUGUUUCUUGUUCUUCUUCCUUUGCUGUGUUUUUUUCUGUUCUGCUAUUGGUUGUUGGGGACGACCGUUUCUUUGGAUUUUGUUGAGGGCAAUGUGUGGUAAGGGAAAUGGAUUUUGUAAUUUUAUCUUCUUUCUCUUGUGGUAUAAGUGUCAUCCGUUCGAUUCUUAAGAUAUUGUCUUUUCAGUUUGGCUUAGUUUUGGAUAUCUGAUCAUUUCCGUAGUAUGACUCUAUUUUGAUGAGGAUCGGGUAAUACGUACUCCUUUGGCGAUUUGAAGUGUUUCAGGAACUGAUUUAGCAAGGGAAAGCAAUUGAAUGUCAAUUUGGGGGUUUCUUUUGGUUGUUAGGGUAGAAUGCCCUACUAUUUUUAGCUAGAAUAUUAGGAAGCAAGGUUUGUUUUCUUUUUAAUUGUGCUCAUUUUAGUCACUAAUCUGUAUGUUGGGUGUUGUUUAGGUAUUGGAUUUGCUACUGUUGCGUUGGUGUCGAAAAAUGACUAGGUGUAUAACGAGAACCUUGUAAAAUAGUGAACGACACGAAGCUAAAAAAUGCACUGUCAAUGCCACACGGCCUUGUGGGUCACAUAGCCGUGUGGUAUGCCGUGUGAAUCACACGGUUGUGUGGCAACCCGUGUGGGUCACACGACCGUGUGACAGAUCAUGUGAUACGAGUAACUCAGCCCAAUUCAAAGGCCAUAAUAGAGAUGACCUUAGUUUCCCUCAAGGCCCAAUUACGAGAUCCAAAACCAAACAAAUAAAGUCAAAACUCAACUUAGUUGUUCAAGACUUUAUCAUGAAAAAAAAUUGAGAAGAAGAGUUGAAGUUUCAAGAUGAUGAAUUCUGGAGUAAUGAUGAAUUAGAAGAGACUAAUUAUGUUCGUGGGCCUAAACUCUCAAUCUAUGAUGACAAGCUCAUGUGGAAAAUGCUAACAAGCUUAGGCAUUUCACUUUAAGAAUCCCAAUUGAUCUUACAAGCCUACACGUUUCAUAUUAGGCUUAAUUUUUAUUAUAUAUAAGCCCAAUAUUUUAUUUAUCAGCUCUUAUUAUUUUAUUAUUAUUUUAUUCAGAAUUUUUGAUUAUUAUUAAGUAUUUUAAGUUAUUUAGGAGUUUUAUAUUAAUAAGAAAGUUUAGUUUAAAACUACCUCUUGUUUAGAUUAAAUUAGAGUUCUCGUAUACUUAGGAUUUUUAUUUAGAUUUAUAUUGCUAGCCUAUAUAUAUAGGCCUUUGUAUUGUACACAAUACAUUCAAUUCAUUAUUAUUCUAUUUCUCUUUUGAGUUAAUAAAUUCUCUCUAGGUUUUUCUUUUUUCAAGAAUUUCUCUUGAGUUUCUUUUAGAAUAGUUUUAACAAUAUUUUUAGAUUGUGGGGAUCAUCUUCAAACUUUUUCUUGUCAAGGUUUCUAUCUUAAAGGGGAAAUUAGAGCCGCUUAAAGGGGGUUGUAGAUUCUUCGUGUUUUCAAGGCUUCUUAGGAAUUCUACACACCAUGUUCUAUAUUUCCGUUUAUCUUCUUUAUUCGCUUCCUUAAUAUUUGAUUUAUUAUUUGAUUUUAGUUAUUUAUUUUAAUUGUUUCAUCUGAGUUUGAUUCAAUUUCGUUUCAAGUUGUAUCAAAUUCCAAGUUUCUUUUCAAACGUCUAGAGCCAUAAGUCAAAUUCGUAACUUUGACAAACUUUACGAUCCGCUUUCGCCUUCAUCCUUCUCAUCCUUUAUCACCAUGUAGGUCACACAGCCAUGUGAUAGGUAGUGUGUGGGUCAUACGGGCGUGUGGACCCAUUUUGGGUAGAUUGUUGGGCUAGAUAUGAGAUUUUUAAAUCGAAUUUGUAAUUACUCUAUAUGCAUGUAAGACCACUAAAUCCAUAAAAUUUAAGUGUUUGUAUGUUAGUGGCAUUAAUUACUAAACUCUAUUUAGGCUACGUGAUAUUAUUUGUAUUUAUACCUACAUUUGUAUCUGUAUGUGUAUUUUCUAACAGCAUGUCUGUGAUAAAUUUUACAUCUAAUCUGCAAUAUGAGAAAUUUUGUUAGCAUGUUAUGAUUUGUAAAAGCAUGAUUUUUCUGUAUGCGUAUAAGUAUAUAUUUUGUUUUUCUUUUCUUCUUUCUGUUUCCGCUUUCGUUUUUUUAGUUUUUGCUAUAGUAGUCCUUUUUGCCAUUUUUUUCUUUUCGUUAUUCAAUUUUCCUUCCUCUUUUAUUUCCAUAUUUUGCACGUUGUAGGACUUGCGCCUGUUGUUUCCCGUAGCUUAUUAUUUACAGUUUUUCUUGCAAUCCAAGUGCAAGUGUUAUGGGGCUAGAUCUUUCGUUUUACGAUCCGUGCGGCCUUAGGCGAUCCGUUGGUCCAAAAUCGCCUAAGUCAGCCUUUACUCAAGUGAGAAUUCCUUAAGAACUCCUCUCAAGGCACCAAGUUGAAAAGCGGAAGCGAUUUAUUCCAAAAGAAGAACAACAAAAAGAACAACAGAUAGAGUGCACACAAAGUGUUUGAGUAAAUGUUCUUAGAAUUCUAUUACUCUUAAAAAUUCAACAUACAAUGGAAUGAGUACAAAUGAGGGGGAGGCUCUCUAUUUAUAGUUGAGCUCCCCCAAAACCGACAGUCAAGAUACAUUUACAUCGACAGAUGAGAUUAACCAUAUUCCUUUAUUUUAGGGAUUUACAAUAUAUACUAUAUCAAAUCUAAUCUAAUUUUUAUAAGAUAUGAUUCCCUCAAUCUUCUAAGAUUAGUUACCAAAAUAGCCUAAGUUGUCAUAUCUCCAUUAUCGGGCCAACCAGACUUCAAUCUGACAGGCUUCUCCAAUAGCUCUUUGAAUCGGGCUAAUUCUCGUGGGCUAAAUGAUCCCCAUCUUAUCGAUAGACCUCUAUGGGGUGCAUCUUAUACCAUGGUGACGGGCUUUGCACUUAGACCCAUGACAUUCUCCCCCAUCUAUUCUCGCAACACCCUUGUUGCGACUUCCGAAUGGCACUAACUUGAUUCACCUUUGAACCCUCUUGUUGUCUUGACUUCUUCUCGACUUGCCUUGCGAUCGGGUUAUCCCUUCCUUCGAAACCUUUUCCUUAGCUUCCGUCACCUCUUAACUUGAACCAUUGCACUUGUUGGUAUAUCUUGUUGGCAAGAAGUCUCCGCUCUAACUUGCCCUAAUUUUGACUUGUUUCUGCUUGAAUCGCCUUGAUUCUCACAUCUUGGCUUCAUAUUGUCCACAGUCUCUUGGCCUCCUUGCUUAUGAACUUUGAAAGGGCCCCUACAACCUUGCCAAGCCAACAAGUUAGAAUUCAAAACACUAACAAAGUGUUCGCAAUGUACCUUACUUGCAGCAUUUACUCAUUUCGACUAUUUUUGCAUCGUUCCUUUUUCCUUGAAGCCUGAUGCACAACCCACAUUUCCCAAAGAUGUCGGCUCCAUAGUUGAAUCUACAGGCUUCAUAUUGAACUCUUACGCCACAAACACUUCCCAAGGAGCUUUCGUAACUUUUCAUUCUACUGAGUCAAUAUUCCUCCCAUACAAAACAUCCUCGACUAGUUGGAUUGACGACAACACCUUUGUCCCCACCUUCAUAUCUCAAUGCACUGGCACAACAAUUUUUGUUAACGGAUCGGUGAUAAUAUGAAUUUCAUCAACCCAUGGAAAUAGAACCGUCUGAAUCCUGUCAAGGAAGUUCAAGCCAAAUACAUAAUCGUAAUCAUCUAAUUGGAUUACUUUAAAGUCUUCCUUGCCCUUCCAUUCGUCAAUUUGUAGCUCCACAUUAUGAACUACUCCCACAGUUGGGGCCUCCUCAGAAUUUACUAUCUUGAUCUUCUUGUUCAAUUUCUUAAUCGAUAGACCAAGCUUCCUUGUAACCUUUUUUGAUAUGAACAAGUCUGAUGCUCCUGUAUCAAUAAGAGCACUCUGCUUCUGACCCGCAAUGUUAAUCUUUACAAAUAUCAACCCUUCUUUACCAUUCCUUUUCUUAGGAAUGAGCACCAUCGAAUUGACCCUCAAUAGGCUUUGCCUCUUCCAGCUCAUCAUUCCUCUUGAUAGCCAAAACUGAAGAUACCUUUGGGCAGUCCCUCUUUAUGUGUGGUCCCUUACAAAAGUAGUUGCGUAACUUUCCAUUCUUUUUUUUCGGGCUAUUAGGUCUCCACUUCCCAUUUUGUGGUUUCCUAUCAUCACCAUCGCUGCUACUACCGUUUCCAUCAUAGCUAUGUCCCUCUUUAUCUUCCUAAUGGUACCUACCAUUGCCCCUCCUAUUGGGCUUGAAAGAUUCAAACCUGUCCCUUAUCGGAACAAGUUCCACUAUAAAAUCCGCUACCAUCAUGGCAUUGGUAAGUUCUUAAACUCCUCGACGUUGCAAUUCUUGUUUCACCCAUGGUUUCAACCCAUCCGUAAAGGAGAAAAAUGCGUCUUUCUCACUCAAAUCAGAGGUCUAGAGCAUGAGUUCACUAAACUCCCGCACAUACUCCCUAACCGUGUGUCGUUAUGUAAGCCACCGCAACUUUGCUUGAGCUUCAUCCUCGACAUACUUGGGGUAAAACUGUGCUUUAAAUUCCUUUUGGAACUCCUUCCAAGUCCCAAUCUCAGUCCAACCACGUCUCACAUCAGUGGACCUACGUCGCCACCACAACAAAGCAACGUCAGUAAAAUACAUAGCAACAGUAUUUACCUUUGUGACAUCAUCCUCGAUGUUCAUCGCAUGAAAGUAUUGGCCCAAUGAAAGUUGUCCACUUCACUUGCGGACCUUACCCCUUCAAACGCUUUCGGCUUGGGCACAUCCAUUGCUUGUGGCUUCGGCUUUAAGGUCAACAUUCCAUUUGUUAUGACAGCCUUAAAAAUAUUAAGCUCCCCUUUAAGCUCAUUGAUCUCCUCCUUCAAAGCUGUCACCAUAGCCUCGAAAGCAUCGUCCUUCUCAACUAGCUUAUUCUCUGAAGAACCGAUAGUAUCCCACACAAAUUCCCUGAGCUGCUCUUACAUCGUCGAUCCUCUCCUUUAUAUCCCCCAUGGACUCCUCGAGAGUGACGACUCGAUCCUCUAAAGCUGACAAUAAGUCCCUCGAUCGACUCACUUUUUUGGCCUUUCCUCGGGUCUCCAUUGGCUCACUCUGACCAACAACUUCUUUUGACAUCCCAACAGUGCCUUUGAACCAAAAGCUCUGACACAAACUAUCACAAGGCAAGAUGUAAUAUCUGGAAAAUUACUACAGUAAGAAAGUAGGUAUCCUUGAUAUAGUAAAAUAAGGAAAUAAAGUGCCAAAAAGGGAAAUUUUAAGUUAUGGCAACAUUGGGGAGUAUAUUAUGAUAUAUUAAUUCAAGAAAGAAUUAAAUCGCAAAAGUGAGAAAAGUUUUGUUGAUCAAGAGUAAAUACUCAAAAUUUGAGAGGGUAAAGUGUAAAUAUGAAAGGUUGAAGGACCAAUAAUGCAAAAAUUUUAAGGGUUGAAUAAUCCAGAAACUAAGGAAAAUGGAUGAAUUAGGACAAAAUUGAAAAGGUGAAGAAUUUUGAGGGACUUAAUCAUAAUUUUACCAAAUUAAGUGAUGAAUCAAGGAUGGAAAUUUUAAAGAUUAUAUAGGGAAAAAUGGUCAAUUAGAAGAGAGAAAUCUAGAAGAUAAUGAUGAUGUUGGAGAUAUUUUAGAUUAAAUAAAUAAAUAAAUAUUAGUUUAUAAUAUUUUGAUUUGAUUUUUUUAAUGAUAUGUUAUUAUUUUAUUUAUUAUAUAUAUAUAUGUGGAAAGAAAGAUGAAAAGCCACCAUCCCACUAUUUUUCCCAUGCAUCAACGUGAGAAGAAGAGAAAAAGAAAGAAAGUUUUGCUUUUUUUACAAUUUGGUCCUUUAACCAAAUACUCACCAUUCUCACUUAAAAAUCAAAAGAAUUUCAUAGCCACCAAGAGAGAAAUUUGAUAAGGAGACUAUGGGGAGAAAAAAAUAUCAAGUUAGAUUCAAGAAAUAGAAGCUAGAGGAGAGAGAAAACUCAAGUUAAAGAUUGAAAUCAAUAGGACAAGGUAAGAUCAUCAAAAUUUCAAUAUAUUUUUAAGAUUGAUAUUAUUGAAAAAGCAUGGAAAUGAUGUUAUAGUAGAGUUUUCUUAUAUAAUGUCUUAUGUUUCUAAUAUAUUAGUGAAGGGAAAUAAGUAAAAGUGAUGGGAAAUAUUAUAAAGAAAGGGAAUAAGGGAGUUAAAAACUUAGUAAUCAACAUCUUACACUAAAACAAUUUUGGACAGCAGCAGUAGGUUAACUUUGAAAAAUCACCAUAAAUCAUGGAAAUUGAAUUAGAGGAUGAAAAAAAUAUGGAAUUCAAUCUUAUUGAGUCUAGCUUCUCAUAGAAGAAACAAUGUAAGCAAUGGAAUUGUAAAUCAUGAGAUAUAAUAAAUUUUGUGAGACAAGGUCAGAACGAUUUUGAGUUGCACUGUUCUAACUUUGGAAAAUCAUAAAAAAAAUUGGAGAAAAAUAAUUAGGGGCUUAAAUUUUUUUUUAAAAUCCUUAAUGAGUCUAUUUUUAAUAGAAACAAACGGUAACAUCAUCCAAAUCCUGUACUAGGAGAUAAUUAAUUUUUAGUGAAGAAGGUUCGAAACUAUCAAAUAGCAGAACAGGGAUGAUUUUAAAGAAUAAACUGUACUUAUUGGGUUAACCAUAAAUUCUAAAAAUUUUAUGGUAAGAAGACAUGUGAGUCUAGUUUCAUAUAAAUUUAUCAGAUUUUAAUUCAGAGUUCCGUAGCUCAAGAUAUAAAUAAUUUAGUGACUAUGACUAAAGUGGAUAACUUUGAAUGAACAUAUAAAUAAAUAGUGAAAUUAUAGAUAAUGUUACAUAUAAGCAUGUUAUAUACAUUAAGGAUAUGGAAUGGAGAGGAGGAGGAAAAUAUAUGAUUAUUCAACUAGCUUGAGUUUUCAUUAAAAAUGGCUAAUUUGCAUGUUUUAGGUUCAAGGACUAAAUUGAAUAAAAGUAAAAUUUUAAGGGUAAUUUUGUAAAAAGAUAAAAAAGUGACAAAAUUGCAUGAAAUGAAUUGUUUUAUUAUUUAAAUUAAUAAAUUGAAUGAAAUAUUAAUUUAGAUCAAGAUUCGAUGGAAAUUCGAGGAAAAUAGAAAAUUACUAAAAUGUCCCUAAAUUUUGGUAUUUUCUGCAAUUUAGCCUGGUAAGUUCGUAUGAACUAUAUUCUAUAUAAUUUUAAUUAAAGUGAAUGUUAUUUGGUGAUGAAUAUUAUAUAAAUAUGUCUUUUAUUAUUGGAAUUGAAUUAUUAUUGGUAAUAUGUAUAAUUAUUAGAUGCAUUAAAAUGAUUAUCGGAAGCUCGAUUGGGUUGGAAACUUGUCGGAGAUAUAUCACACUAUCCAUUGGUUCUAUCGGUAAUUUUGGAUGAUUUGAUUCUGGUUAUAAUGGCAUGUAUAAGUUAAAUUGGCCAACAUUAGUGCAUUAAUGUUUUGAUUUUGAUUGGUUAUUAAUAUGAAUGCUUGAAGAAAUGAAAUGUCUGUAAAUUAAUUUGUAAACUCCGGUAAUACUCUAUAACCCUAUUCUGGAAAAGGAUACUAGUUAUGGGUGUUACAUUUAUUAGUGUCAGAGCUACAGUUUAGUUGGUUCUUGGGCCGAACGUAGCAUAUGUGAAGUUUGGAAAUACAUGCCAUUUUAUAACCUGUGAUAGUAUGAUAUCUCUCGACUCUGGUGAGAUUUUUUUUACUCAUAGACAAAAAUACUUUCCCAACUAAGUUAAUUCCAAUAAUGUUGAAAGCGAUACUCAAGUAUAUGAGAAAAAAAUUGAUUAUGAUGAAUCGAAACUCAUAAAGGUAUGAAUAAAUGUUUUAUAAUACAUGUUAAUGAUGAAUAUUAUGUUAUAUGUACUAAUAAAAGUAAAUUUUAGUGCUACACGAACUAUUGUGCUAAUAAAAAAAUUAUAAAAUAUACAAAAGUAAUAUAUGAAGUAUAUGAUAAGGAUUAUUAGGGAAUUGUGGAUGAAUAGUGAAUUUGAAAAAUAUUACAUGUGUUAAAGAUAGAGAAGAUAUAAAUGCAUGAAUUAUUGGUACAAGAAUUAAAUUGUAAAGCAUGUAAAAACAUUAUGCGAAAAGUGUAAAAGUGAUAUGCAUGCAUGAAAUAAUUUGCCCAAGUAGAUGAGAUUAGAACUAUUAGGAUAUUAAGGGAGUUUAGCGUGCUUUUUGAUUAUUAGCACAUCAGUGCUCUCUGAUUAUUAGCACGUCAGUGCUAUCUGAUUAUUACCGCAUCAGUGCUAUCUGAUUAUUAGCGCAUCAGUGCUCUCUGAUUACUAGCACGCUCUUUGAUUAUUAGCACAGUAGUGCUCUCUAUUUAGCACAUUUGUGCUCUCUGUAUAGCACUUUUGUGCUCUCUGUUUAAUAGUGCAUAAUAAUACACCUCUGUAUCAGUCCCGUAUAUCCUAAGUGUUUUGUUUCAUCUACUGGGCCUCUACUAAAAAGGAAAACAAUUUUCGUUACAAGAUAAAAGAUUAUCUUUGAUUCAUGUUUGAAAUAUUGAAUUAAAAAAAAGUAUAGGUGGAUAGUAACAAGAGAACGUACUAUUCAGGAAAUAAGAAGAGAUGAAGUGAUGUUAAUGUUUGAUGAUAGAAAAAGGUUUACAAGGAAAAGAGAUAGUAAAAAAGAAGGAGAUUCAGAAAACAUUUUAAGAUCCAAUGAUGAAUGAUUAUAAAGGAAAAUAAGUUACAAAGUUGUGAAUAGAUAAGCAUGUAUUUGUAAUAAAAUAAUUUAAAGUUGUAAAUAAGUAAAUGUUAUUUAGUUUUGUAUGGAGGUUUAAAAAAGUAAUCCUUAUAGAUAAGAAUGAAAAGAUACAUUAAGAAUAAAAUGAGUGCUCUUUAGGAAUCUAAAGUUAUGAAAUAAUAAUAAAAUUUAUGAUACGAGUGAGAAGUAAAGAAAUUUGUGGGCUACUAACUAAUUUAAUAUAAAGAUUUGAAAGAUAAAUGGAAAUUUCAGAAUCAAAAUUUGAGGGUAAUUAAUUGAAAAGUUAAAUCAAACGAAAUGAAUUAGUUGAGUCAUUGAGAAGAAACGUGAUUGUGGAAUAUAAUUUGAAAAUGUGAAUUAAAUAUGAAAAUGUGAAUAGAAAGCAUGAACUAAAUGUUCAUGAGACAAAUAAUGGCUCAAUGUGAUAGUAUAUGAUAUUAAUUAAUGAAUGAAUUAUUAUUGAAAAUAUAUUAUGGAAUUUAAUACUUAGUCUGGAUUGAACGCGAGAUUGAGUACAAUCGUUCUGCGGCAAAGAAUGAAUUGACGGAUAAGACCAUAACUGGGUUAUGGCACCUUGGACAUAAGACCAUGGCUGGACCAUGGCAGUAUAGAUACAUAUGUAAGACCAUAGUUGGACUAUGGCACAAAAAGAGUGACGUACUCAUAUCCGUAAGCCGUUCUUCGAUUCAAUAAGAAAUGGUAAGAGAUUUAUGUGAUUGAAUUGAAAGAUUAUACAUUAUUAUUGAUAUUGAUCUGAAGGAAGUGUAUUUAUUGAUUAUAUUAUAUUUGAAAAGGAAAUUAUGUAUGUUGAGAUGAGUAAUAAACUUAAGUGUGACAUAUUGAAAAAAUAAGUUUAUCAAAGUUGAAUUUAUAUGCAAUAUGUGCAAGUAAGCUAACCAGUGAUGUUGCUCGAUGCUUAAGCAAGUGCCAAACUGUGGGUUGAAUGGUAAUAUGAUUAUUUAUAUGAUACAUUGAAUUGAUAAGUAUUUAAGUGAAAAUAUGCUACUGCUUAUGAAAAAGUGGUAAGGUUUAAAUUACGCAAUUUCUUAUGGAAUGAUUUAUCAUGUGAUCAAUUCGGAAAAGGUUUUGGUUAAAUGCACUAGCUUGUAACCAUGGUUGAAGGAUAUGUUUAUGACUUGUGUGUCAUGCAUAUGGAAUAAGCGUGGAAAGUAAAUAAAUGCAAAUGAAAAUAAAGAAAAUUCGAAAGAGUAUAAAGUUGUUUAAAAUCUUAUAUUGCUAAGGAUAAAAUGUACAAGUGAUGAUGUGGAUUUAUUUACCUCGUGAGUUGAUAAAUAUAGCCACAUGAGCAUUGGGGUAUCAAUAUUAAAUUAUUCUUGAUAUUUAUAAAUUUCAUAUUUGAAAUGAAUGGAUAUGAUUAAAGUGUGAUUAUGUAUAGAUAUUUAAUAAUAUAUUAAUUGAAAAGUGGAAAUUUGUGUUGAAUUGAAUUGUGAUUAAAAAAUUGAGAAUGAUUUGAAAUAUAAAAAAAUUGAAUACCCUAUUAACUAGACGGGUUGAGUUGGAUAUAGAUGGCAUGCCAUAGGAUCAAAAGAAUUUGGGGAUUUUUCGGCUUGGCCGAGAAGACACUGAAGUCAUCAUAUUUCUUUAGACUAUUCGAAGAAAAAACUGAGUGUCGUUUUGGUGUGUUUGGUUAGAAUCCGUGUAUCCGCCAAGGUUCGAGUCUUGUUAAUAGGGGUAAGCAAAUGAAAUUAUAAAAUUAAAUGAAGAAAGGACUUCUGGUUAAGUGGAAAGAGAAGAAAAAAGAGCUUAAUUAAGUAAAAAGUAGAAUAUUCUUGAAAAGGAAGUACAAAAUGAUAUAAAAACUAGAAAUGUUAGUGAUAAGAAUGGAUAGAAAAGGAUAAUUGAAAGAAUAUGGAAAUGAUAAAGUUCAUGAUCAAAACAAAAUAAGGAAAUUUCGAGGAUAAAAUUUAUUUUAGGGGGGAGAGAAAUGUAAUAUCUCGAAAAUCACUACAGUAAGAAAGUAGGUAUCCUUGAUAUAGUAAAAUAAGAAAAUAAAGUACCAAAAAGGGAAAUUUUGAGUUAUAGCAACAUUGGGAAGUAUAUUAUGAUAUAUUAAUUUAAGAAAAGAUAAAACCGCAAAAGUGAGAAAAGUUUUGUUGAUCAAGAGUAAAUACUCAAAAUUUGAGGGGGUAAACUGUAAAUAUGAAAAAGUUAAAGGACCAACAGUGAAAAUAUUUUAAGGGUUGAAUAAUCUAGAAACUAAGGAAAAUGGAUGAAUUAAGGCCAAAUUGAAAAGGUGAAGAAUUUUGAGGGACUAAAUCACAAUUUUACCAAAUAAGUGAUGACUCAAGGAUGGAAUUUUUAAAGAUUAUAAAGGGCAAAAUGAUCAAUUAGAAGAGAGAGAAAUCUAGAAGAUAAUGAUGAUGUUUGAGAUAUUUUAAAUUAAUCAAAUAAAUAUUAAUUUAUAAUAUUUUGAUUUAUUUUUUUAAUGAUAUUUUAUUAUUUUAUUUAGUAUAUAUAUAUGGAAAGAAAGAUGAAAAGCCACCAUCCCACCAUUUUUCUCAUGCAUCAACGUGAGAAGAAGAGAAAAAAAGAAAGUUUUGCUUUCUUUACAAUUUGGUCCUUUCACCAAAUACUCACUGUACAACCCAAAUUUUUCCCGGGCCCAACAAGCAGAGACCAAAAUACCCAAGCCCAAAUUAAACCCAAACAGCCCAACUACCCAAAACCUAAUGGCCCAAAUUUCAUUGAAGGCCCAAGUAGCCCAAAAUGUUUAAAAAAUUUCAGAAAAAAUGAAACCUAAGGCCUUCAAGCCUCAAGCGCCAUUCUGCCAGCCUCCCUCGCGCAUGCGCACGCCAUCCCUCGCGCAUGCGCACGCCAUCACCGCCGCUCGCCUAUCACCGGCCAUCCAUGCGUCUAACACCACCUGUAACACGCAAAAGAGGAAAAUGACAAACAGACAAUCUAAAUCGCAAACAACAAAAAAAUAGAAGUUUAGCAGUUUUAAAGAUUGGCUAUAUAAGCCGAACACAAGCAUUGUAAUAGGUUCUCUUCCCUUUUUAACGAACAUCAGAAAUAAAAGAAAAAAGAUUACUAUUCUUCAUUUUUUUUCAAUUGAUUAUUUUGUUUUUACUUCUUUUAUCUUUUUUUUAUUUUUAAAUUUUUUAAAUAAACAAUAAAAAAAAAGGGGAAGGGACUCACAGGAGUUGCGCCGCGCCUUGGUCGUCGGAGGGUCCCUUUUUCAGUGACAAAACCUGUGUUGAGAGGGCUAUUAGUCCCUUUUUAUUGUGUUGUUUGGGUGUUUCGUGGUUGGAUUUGAGUCAAGGGGGCUGGAAAAUUAAAAAAAAAAACUUUUUCCCUCGCCGACCACCAUGAACUGCGGCGUAGGCGCCGGCUACCGGCGGCCAGCAUGGCGAUGGCCGGCCGAUCCUCUUGCCGGAUUCUGGGCUAAGAGAGAGGGGGGAGAGAGUAUUCUUUGUUUUUUUUUAGAACAGAAUGGAAGAAUGAUUUUGUUAAAAUUUUUUUUGCUUUUAUAACUGACGCAAAACGGCGUCGUUUGGGGCCUGCUCCAGUGGCCUCAAAACGACGCCGUAUAGGACACUCGCACACGACCCGACCCGCUUCAGGGGGAUCCGCGUGUUUUAGCUCUGAGGGGAAUAUUUGUGCAAUAGGUCCCUCCACUUUUGCAACAUAGCGUAAUUCGAUUCUUUUUUUAUUUGAGCCGAGAAUUUUGCUUCCGUUUCAAUCUGGUCCUCAGGCCAUAUGCAAUCCCUUCGUUAAAGCGUCACGCUUUAGGACUGGGGAAUAUUUCCCUGAAGGUCCCUCGUGCUUUGAGCACGUUUCAUUUUGGUCCCGAACCACCCUCUUUUAUUUAUUUACGAUUUAAACCCCGAAUUUUGGGCCCAAUUUCAGUUUCGUCCUAUUUCAUUUAAUUAAUUUAUUAUUCUUUAUUAUUAUUUUUUUAAAAUAAAUAAAUUAUUUAUUUAUUUAUUUAUUUUUUAAGGGCUCUUCUUUUACUAUUAUGUAUUUUAAGUUUUACAUAUAUUAUCUAUUUUAAAUAUUUCACCUAAUAUUUACUUAAUUUUUUAUUACAUUAUUUGUUUUAAACUACCAUAUAUAUAUUGUCCUUUAAAUUUUUUAUACUAUUUUUAAUAAAGAAAAAGAAUACUGUUUUGUGUUUUAUUCAUUUAUAUAUUUUAAUCUAUAUUAGUAUUUUUCAUUUUAAGUUUCAUAUUUAGUUUGCUUGAGAUAUUUACCAUUUAUUUCGAAUUGAUCUCAUAAAUUAUUUGUCUUAGACUAUUAGUUACGUGAAAUUAUUGUCUAUAUUAUUUCGUCUCAUUUACUUUGAUAAUUAAUAUUUAUAUUUUAAAAUGAUGCAUGUUGUAUGGCUAUUACCAUUAUGUGUAUUAUUUUGUUUACUCGUAUUUUCAUGCUAUAGUGAUUCAUUCAUUUAAUAUUUUGAUCAUAAAUUAUUUCUCCAUGUUGUAUAUUAUCGUUCCAUCAACGUAACCCUUCACUCGCACAUUAUUUAUUACAUUAAUUUUUACCCAAACAUGCAAAAAUAAAAAUUUCCAAUAAGGCAAUAUUUUGUGUAUUAGUGAUUCGAGAAGGUCGUACCCUAACUUACUGGGUUUCGAUUUUCACAAUCAAUCUAAAUACACGAAUCUUUUCAAAACUCAAGUUUUAAAAGAUCUCGGGAAUUAAGAAAAGAUCGUGUCCUAACUUACUGGGCAUGAUCCCUUUUUUUUAAACCCGAAAUAGCUAAAUAUCUUUUAAAUAAGUAAAUUUUUGGGCAUGUAUUCUCGUAUCGGGAAUUUGAUGCGUUGUGUCCUAACACAUUGGAUGUGACAUGUUGUUUGCUCGAUAUGAGGAUUUUUUCUAAAAAAUAAUAAAGGUAAUAUUUUACAUUUGGAAUUUCGAUAAAGCGUGCCCUAACGUGCUGGGUUCCGAUUUCUCGUUUGACCAAAUAGCCAAAUAUCCUCUUAAAACUUCAAAGUAUGGGUUUUUGAAACCAUAAGGUGAUCUUGGUUUUGAUGGUUUAAAGUAUCGUGAUAUUCCUUCGGAACAAGAGAAUCUUAAAUUUCAAUCCAUGUUAUUCGAGUUUUUUUAAGGAUCGUAUUUUUUUUAAAUUUCUUCAAAGUUUUCAAUUUUUUGAAAUCAAGACAUUAGCUAAUCAACUAGGUACCAAUUUUGGGCGUUACGAGGGUGUUAUCCUUCCUCGUACGUAACCGACUCCCAAACCUAUUUUUCUGAAUUUCAUGGACCAAAAUCAUUGUUUUAAUAAAAUUAAAUUGUUUAUUAAAAACAACCACUUUCAAGGUGGCCCGAUCACACCUUAUCAAAAAGGAUUGGUGGCGACUCCCAUUUUCGUUUUUGUUUUCAAAAUCCAAGUCGACCCUGUUUUUAUCAAAAAAAUGGUGUCAACACUCACCAUUCUCAAUUAGAAAUCAAAUGAAUUUUCAUAGCCACCAAGAGAGAAAUUUGAUAAGGAGACCAUGGGGAGCAAGAAUAUCAAGUUAGAUUCAAGAAAUAGAAGCUAGAGGAGAGAGUAAAAUCAAGUUAAAGAUUGAAAUCAAUAGGACAAGGUAAGAUCAUCAAGAUUUCAAUAUAUUUUUAAGAUUGAUAUUAUUGAAAAAGCAUGAAAAUGAUGUUAUAGUAGAGUUUUCUUAUAUAAGGUCUUAAGUUCUUGAUAUAUUAGUGAAGGGAAAUAAGUGAAAGUGAUGGGAAAUAUUAUAGAGAAAGGGAAUAAGGGAGUUAUAAACUUAGUAAUCAACAUCUUGCACUAAAACAGUUUUGGACAGCAGCAGUAGGUUAACUAUGAAACAUCACCAUAAAUCAUGGAAAUUGAAUUAGAGGAUGAAAAAAAUAUGGAAUUAAAUUUUAUUGAGUCUAGCUUCUCAUAGAAGAAACGAUGUAAGUAAUGAAAUUGUAAAUCAUGAGAUAUAAUAAAUUUUGUGAGACAAGGUCAGAAUGAUUUCGGGUUCCCCUAUUCUGACUUUAGAAAAUCAUAAAAAAUUAGAGAAAAAUAAUUAUGGGCUUAAAUUUAUAUGUUUAAAUCCUUAAUGAAAUGGUAACAUCAUCUGAAUCCUGUACGAGGAGGUAAUUAAUUUUUAGUGAAGAAUCAAAACUAUCAAAUAGCCGAACAUGGAUUACUUUUAAAGAAUAAAUUGUACUUAUUGGCUAAACCAUAAAUUCUAAAAAUUUUAUGGUAAGAAGAUAUGUGAGUCUAGUUUCAUAAUUUAGCAUAUCUUAAUUCGGAGUUUCGUAGCUCAAGAUAUAAAUAAUUUAGUGACUAUGACUCAAGUGGAUAGCUUUGAAUGAACAUAAAAAUAAAUAGUGAAAUUAUAGAUAAUGUUACAUAUAAGCAUGUUAUAUACAUUAAGGAUGUGGAAUGGAGAGGAGGAGGAGGAAAAUAUAUGAUUAUUCAACUAGCAUGAGUUUUCAUUAAAAAUGGCUAAUUUGCAUGUGUUAGGUUCAAGGACUAAAUUGAAUAAAAGUAAAAUCUUAAGGGUAAUUUUGUAAAAAGGUUAAAAAGUGACCAAAUUGCAUGAAUUAUUUUAUUAUUUAAAUUAAUAAAUUGAAUGAAAUAUUAAUUUAGAUCAAGAUUCGAUGGAAAUUUGAGGAAAAUAGAAAAUUACCAAAAUGUCUCUGAAUUUUGGUAUUUUCUGCAAUUUAGCCUGGUAAGUUCGUAUGAACUAUAUUCUGUAUAAUUUUAAUUAAAGUGAAAGUUAUUUGGUGAUGAAUAUUAUAUAAAUAUGUGUUUUAUUAUUGGAAUUGAAUUAUUAUUGGUAAUAUGUAUAAUUAUUAGAUGCAUUGAAAUGAUUAUCAGAUGUGUUGGAAGCUUGUCGGAGAUAUAUCACACUAUCCAUUAGUUCUAUCGAUAAUUUUGGAUGAUUUGAUUCUGGUUAUAAUCGCAUGUAUAACUUAAAUUGGCCAAUGUUUGCUAAUUAAUGUUUUGAUUUUGAUUGGUUAUAAAUAUGAAUGCUUGAUGAAAUGAAAUGUCUGUAAAUUAAUUUGUAAACUCCAGUAAUGCUCUAUAACCCUAUUCUGGCGAUGGAUACAAGUUAGACGUGUUACACUAGAUCUUUCAUCUUGUGAUCCAUACGGCCUUAGGCGGUCCGUUCGUCCAAACUCACCUAAGUCAUCCUUUACUCAAGUGAGGAUUCCUUAAGAACUCCUCCCAAGGCACCAAGUUGAAGAGCGGAAGCGAUUUAUGCCAAAAGAAUAACAACAAAAGAACAACAAAAAGAGCGCACACAAAGUGUUUGAGUAAAUGCUCUCAGAAUUCUAGUACUCUUAAGAAUUCAACAUACAAUGGAAUGAGUACAAAUGUGGGGAGGCUCUCUAUUUAUAGUUGAGCUCCUCCCAAAUUGACGGUCAAGAUACAUUUACAUCGACGGAUGAGAUUAAACAUAUCCCUUUAUUUUAGGGAUUUACAAUAUAUGCCAUAUCAAAUCUAAUCUAAUCUUUACAAGAUAUGAUUCCCUCAAUCUUCUAAAAUUAGUUACCAAAUUAGCCUAAGUUUCCAUAUCUCCAUUAUCGGGAUAACCAGGCUCUAAUCUGACAGGCUUCUCCAAUAGUUCUUUGAAUCGGGCUAAUUCUCGUGGGCUAAAUGAUCCCCGUCUUAUUGAUAGACCACCAUAGGGUGCAUCUUGUGCUAUGGUCACGGACUUUGCGCUUUGACCUAUGACACAAGAUUAUCACAAAUUCCAAGUGGCAAUUGGAAAAUGAGAUACGAUGUUUAUGUUUUUUUUUCAUUUUUAAAUAUAGUAAAGACGAAAUUGAUGGAAGGGAAAACUUUAUCCUUGGUUUAAAAGUCCAUAUAUCAAUUACAAGACAUAAAAAACAAAGACAAGUAUUGGGGGCCAGCAAAUGAUAGUGAGUGACACUAUUUGAUUUAGUCUAAUUACAACAUGUUUGAUUGGAACUAUUUUGAAAUAUCUGAUUAAAUAAAUAUUGAGAGGAAAAGUCUUAAAUUUUCUUCUUUUCCUUAGCUAUAAAAUUUAAUUUCUAGUUUGGUUUACAGGCCUUUGGUUCUCAUCUCUAGUUAUGUAAGGCUGAGUCGCUGUUAGUUGGAUGGACCUACAUUAAAAACAUUAAUUGAAAACAUAAGUAAUAGAAACUUUGUCAUAUUUAGACAAAUCAAAUUAAAUUUUGCCUACCAUUUCCCAACCACAUCUUUAUUAACUUUUUACAUUUAUUAUCCCAAUAUUCAAAACCAAACAAUACAUCCAUUGCAUAUUCCUUUUCUUAAAUAUCAUUUUAUUUAAUGUCAUUAGACAUUACUCUAUUCUUUUUUUUUAUGAUAAAAAUUAUUAAACAAAAAAUUAUUACAGAUGUUGUAGGAACCUAUCCUUUGAGAUUGUUUGAUUCUAGUUUUUGACAAAUUGCUCAAAGUUGAUGGGAUAAAACAAGUGAUUUUGAUGGUGUUCGGAAACAAGCUUCGAUGUUUAGUGAGAUCAAAAUUUGUUGACAAAUUAAAUUACUCAACGGGGUAAAUAUCCAUAGAAGUUAUUGUCCCAAAGUGGGGCUGGACUUGGAUGGUGUCUGCGAGACUCAUUUUUAUCAAAUUCAAAGCAGUGGCAGUAAUACCGAUUAAAUUACAACUAGAAAUAAAAACAGAUCAGUUGGCUGGCAAGAGAUUUCGAGGGUCAUGCUUGGUCCCUAUCAUCCCAAGUACUACUAAGUCAGUACCCCUCUAAAUGGGGAGAACUUUGUCGAUCUUUCAUUGGUUUAAAAGUCCGACUACCAAUUGUAAGGCAUCAAAACAACAAAGACAAGUAUUGGGGACCAGCUGAAGAGAGUGAGUGACACGGUUUGAUUUAGAGUCUCAUGAUUGCAGCAUUUUGAUCAUGAUCCUCAACUUUGAUUGUAAUGUCUAACAAAAUAAAUACCAAGAUGAAAAUACCGUUUUUCUAUAAAAUCUAAAUUUCUAGUUUUGAAGACACGCCUUUGGUUCUCAUCUCUUACUUGUUCUGCACGGCUAAGUCGCAGUUGCUUCGAUGGACCUAUGAUGGAAACAUGAAUUGAAAAGAAUGCCAACAAGUAAUAGAAACUUUGUAAUAUUCAAAUAGAUCAAAUUAAGCUUUGCGGGUCCUGCCCUACUUCACACUCAAUUGACAGAGGGAUUGGGACAAUAAUUAAAGCCAUUGUGAGUGGUGGGGUAGGCGUGGGUAUGACCUUGUACCGACCCCAUCCCAUCUCUACCCAUCCUGCAUAAUAUAACAAACAUAUUUAAAAAAUAAACAUUUAUAAAAAUUUAAUUUAAUAAUUAUUUUAACAGUAUUUAAUUUUUGCACUUGUGUUGCAUUUGAAGACAUUUAUGAUGUAUUUGAGAUAUUGUUUGUAUUUUGAUAUUAUGUAAUGACUUUAUUUUUUGAAUCUUUUAAACUUGAAAUUAUAUAUUAUUUACCAAUUAAAAGUCGUGACGACUUACUUUUUUUUUUAAAUAGUGACAGUUGGAAUAAUGUCACAUAUGUGAUGGGAGUCUGGAGGAUAAAUAUUUUAUACUUUUGUAACAAAAAAUUGGUUUAUAUUUAUUUAAGUGAUACUUAUAAAUAUUGUCGAAACCACUUUUUGAAAACAAAAAAUUAGUUGUCGACUUUAAAAAUAAAAAUUGGAGUCACCACCGAUCUUUUAUUGGGGUGUGAUCGGCUCACCUUAAAAAAUGAUUUUGGUCUGCGAAAUUUGAGAAAACAGGUUCGGGAGUCGGUUACGCACGAGGAAGGGUUAGCACCCUCGUAACGCCCAAAAUUGGUACCGAAUUGAUUAAUUAAGGUCUUAAUGCCAACUAUCGAAAAUCCGUGAAGAAUUUAAAAAUACGAUUCCCUUUUUUAUUAAUUUUAAUUUAUAAAAGAUACUUGGAUAAAUCGAAGCGGUUGCUAAAGACCUUCUUGUCUAAGAGUAAUAAAAUGUCACACCCAAUACAUUAGGACACGAUAUUUUUAGUCCUCGAGAAUAAGCUUGUCUUUUGAUUUCCAAAACUCUUGCGGUGAAGUUUAAAAAGGAUAUUCAAUUGCUUUAAGUCAGAUGAAAAAUCGAAGCCCAAUACGUUAGGGCACAAUUUCUCAAAAUUUCGAGCAUUCAAUAUUACCCUUAUUAUUCCUUUUUUUUAAAAACUCCCUGUCUCGAGAAAACGACAUAUCAUAUCCAAUACGUUAGGACACGACGUAUCGAAUUCCCGAGAAUGAGCUUUUUAUUCAUGAUCUGUGUGAUUUUAUUGUAAAAUAAAUACUUGGCUAUCUAAAUUCAUUGAAAAGAAUUGAAUCCUAGUAAGGUAGGGCACAAUCUUCUCGAGAAUCAUGAAUACCGAGUAUCUUGAAAAUUUACAAAAUAAGAUGAUUUUAAUGCUUUAAUGAAAUAUAAUUUUUAAAACAAAUGUAGUGCGAUUGAAUAGUAACGUACAACGCAAAAGGAUAAUUCGAAAAUAAAAUAUACAUUAAUGAGCAAUGAAUAAUCAACAAAUAAAUACAAACAAACAUAGCAACAAUAAUCUCAAUUGUACAUUAUGCCAAUAUCAAUAUCAACAUUCAAAAGCUGAUAAAAAAAAACUCAAAAUAACUAAUAAUAUACUUGAUAAUACACGUAAAAAGUUGAAGUGGGUGAAAUAUAAUAAAGUAGGUUUUUUUUUUUAAAAAAAGAAAUAAAUUAUAUAUAUGAAAAUAAGUAAAAAAAAUAUGGAAUUAAUAAUAUAUCAUAAAUUGUGUAUAAAUAAUAUUAAAUUUACAUAAAAAUAUAUAAAAUAAUACAUAAUAAAUUUGAAGAAUAAUACAUGAAACUUAGAAUGAUACAUAAAAGAAACCUUUAAAAAUAAUAAUACAAUAGAUUUAAACAAUAUCAACAAUAAAUUUAUAAUAAUAAGUUUAAUUAGAAAUAAUACUAGACUUAAAACUAAAUAUAUUAAAAAAAGAAUAAAAGAAAUACUUAACUAAGUUUUUUUUCUUCUUUUUUUUUUAAAAAAAUGAGCAAAUCAAAAUAAGGAUUAAAUUGAUUUUAAGACAAAAUUAGAGAGAAAAAACGGAAAUAAACUAAAACGGAGGUCUAAAUCGUGACGUGCGAAUAACAUGAGGACCGAAUGGGAAAUAUUCCCUUCCCCUAAAACGCUGCGUCUUUAGCAUGGACUAAAUGAAACAAAAAUAAAAUAAGAGAUUAAAUUUAAAAGGAAAUAAAAGAACUGGAUUGAAGUACACUUGAAAAAUAGAGGGACUGUGCUCACAAAUAGACCGUCAAACAAAAUGCGCGGAUCCUUCCCUCAGGUCGGGUCACCGCGUGGGUCUGAGCACAUUACGGCACUGUUUUGGAACCAUCAAAACGGGCUUCAAACGGUGUCGUUUCAUAGCAUGCAUAAAAUAAAAAAAAAGGCAUUAAGCCAUUUUUGACAGAUCUGCAAACCCUAAGCAAAACUUUCCUCUGUGCGCCGCUCAGCAAACAGACGUUUGGAGGCCCCAAUCCCUCGUCCGACUCCGAUUGCGACGGAGCAAACGACGUCUCAGCUAUCUAUUAAUAAGCAGAGUAGUAAAAAAAAAAGAAAAGUGAAGAGAAAUUCAAAAAAUCACCUUACGAAACUCUGUUUAUGUUCUUUUUCUUUGAAUAUUUUUUUCUAUUUUUGUAUUCAAUCUCCGUGUGUAAAAAAAUACAAUGGCUUUCUGUUUGUUUUUAUAGCCGAAUAUGCGAAAACAUGAAAUAAAAAUAAAAUACGAUCUUUUUCUCUCUGCUGUGUUUUUUUUGUUUCACUUGCAGGUAUGGUGUACGGAGGUGGUGGCAUGGCGCACGUGGAGAGGAAGACCGAAGGCGGCGCGUUAUGAGGCUAUUGCGGCGGCUUAGUUUCUAGAAACCUUUAGGGUUUCUGAAUAUGUAAAAAAAAUGGGCUGUUUGGGCUUGUAACGUGAUUGGGCUAGGGAUUGUAUUUGGGUUUGUAACCGAGUUUGGAGAUUGGGCUAAUUAGGCUUAGGUUAGGUUUGGGCUAGGGGUUUUGGUUAAUUGUUUAAUGGACUUUUAUUGGACUUUGUAUUUUUAUUAUUUAGUUUUUAUAUUAUCUGUAUCGGGCCAUCAAAAAUUGGCUAUUACAAAUAUAUUAUAUGAAAUGGGUCAUAAGACGAGUAUAGUGGGGAUUAGGUGGGUUUGGGACCCACGUGGGUGGUGGGGCGAGGAUGGUUUUUGAUUUUGUACCCGUAAUGGGUUGUGGGAAGGGGAUAGAGAUGAAAAUUCUUGGUGGGGAUGGGGAUAAAAAUUGUGCAAGUCGAAGUCUGUGUAAUUUAAGUAAUGCAUACCAAGAAGGAAUCUUCGGCCCUCUCUCUUUCUAUCUCUGUCUUCCUCUCAUUUUGGUGUAUUGUUUGUUUGGAUGUGUUUUGUCUUGUCUUGUGUUGAUCUGAUUUGUUUUGUUCCAGUGAUGUUAAGCCUUUGACUAGUAAUAUGAGUAAUAUUGGGCUUCAACCACAAUACACGAUAAAGAAUGAAAGCCAGAGAAAUGCAAGACUGCAUGUCUACACCAUUAUUCACUAUUCAACAAUACAUUACUUAUUUUUUUCUUUCUGAUAAAAUUUAUUAACAACAAAUGUUAUCCUUGUUUUAUGGAUAAAGUAAUGUUUAUUUAAUAUAUCCAGAACAAUAAACUAAUUUCCAGUUAUACCUCUCAUUCAAUAAUAAUAUUUUUAUAAAUAAAAGAGUAGUCUGUCUCUAUAUAAAUAAAUGAGUUGGAUUGGCUGAUCAUUUGAUUUUGGGUUAAAUGAAAAUCAACUUCGGCCUGGAUGUAGGUAUUGGGUUUAAUGUAACUUACAUAAAGAGUCUAGUAUGUCGCUUUAUUUGACUUGUUUGGUUUGGACAUUCAAAAUUGAAAUUGAUCAAUUAAAUCGACAAAAUUGAGUCUCAACUAAAUAAAGUGAAAACUCAACUAAAUAGUACUGGAUUAAAUUGAUUCAAUUAAUCGAAUUUGCACAUACUUUAUAACCAUCAUGAUUCGUUCAUAUUAUUAUUCUCAUACUAUAUUCAUGCUAUGUAAUAAAAUUGUGUUAUAAAGUACUUGAUCUCGUUUUCCUAAAUUGAUGUAUUUGGAAAGAUCGAAACUUUUUUCUUUUUCAGGGUGUCUCUUGGAGCACAGGUAAGAUUAUUAAGAUUUUAUAUAUUUGGGCAAAACAGUUUGUUUCCUUUCAUAGGGAAGACAUUUCUUGACAAAUAGAACAAAAGUCAGCAGUUGAGAUGUCGGAAAGUUGGAUCAAUCUUUGCACUGACAGGGCGGUCCAAAUUGCCCUAGGUGAUUCUGAAGCGGGGGAAGUCAUAAGAAAUGGAAAAAGGGAGUGAAUUAUGGGAUACAACAGAAAUCUAGGCAAAUGCUCAGUCUUCAAUAUUGGAAAUCUAAAUUUAAUUAAAUUCCAAGAUGAAAAGUCCUUUUUUUCUAUAAAAUCUAAAUUUCUAGUUUUGAACACAUGCCUUUGGUUCUCAUCUCUUACCCCAUCAAUAUUGAAAAUUUUGCUGCUUCGAUGGACCUAUGUUGGAAACAUGAAUUGAAAAGAAUGCCAACAAGUCAUAGAAACUUUGUAAUAUUCAGAUAGAUCAAAUUAAGCUUUGUGUGGACCAUUCGUGAUUGAAGCCAGUUCUGCACUGGAUUAUUAUAGAUCAAAUAAUUACUUGCAAUCCUAAAAUUAACAAUCUAACAAUUGAAUUUAACAAGCCUUGCAUUUAAAAUUUUGAAUUGAUCUGAUACCUCUAUCAUUUCGGUCCAAAACUUUAUUUAUUUCAUAUAUAUUAUAUAAAGCAAAGUAUUUAAGUAUUUUUGAAUGUAACUAAGUAAGCAUGUUUCUUCUUCCGCGAGUCAAAAGUUUGCAGCAAUUUUAGCGAUUUCGUACAUUAUAUGUCAUUAUAUUGUUGCCUUAAUUAAAGCACAAUAAUAUGUCAUUAUAUGUCAUUAUAUUUCCAUAAGUUUUAACAAAUAUCAUAAAUUUCCAUUGGGAAUUUUGUUGGUGUAUUCUAAAUCACAUAAUGAUCAGAAAUAAGGAAGAUUUCCAUAUAUUCUCGCCUUUUAGUAGAAGUAAUAAUAAAAAAUUUUAUUGAUUAGCCUCUACUAUGAAAAUAAAAAUAAAAAAUUACAAAAUUAGAACCCUAAAAUUCAAGUAAAUCAAUUUUGGUUUUAAAAUUUUAAACAUACAUAUUAAAGAUCUCCUAACAAUUUUACUUUUAAUUAAAUUCAAGUAACAAUUUUACAUAUUAAGGGUUGAUUAAAUAGUUUGCAUAACAUCCAUCUAGUUUUGAGAAAUCUUCACUUUUAAUUUCAAAAUUGUAAUUAAAUAGUUUUAUCCAAUUAACUAAUAAUAAUAUAUGGCUAUGGUGAUGUCUGUAAUUUCAUAAAAUAAUUACUCUAAUCUAAUCCAUGUCUCUUUCUUUCUGAGUUUAUAGGCAAUAUAUUCCCUUCGAUUUCACCUAGCUUGUUAUAAUAAUGUUAUUCCAAAUUAGUUAAAGAAGAAAAUUUGUGAUAUUAUAUUUAAAUUGAAUAUUUCAAUUUAUUAGGAAUUGAUUUUAAAUUAGAAAGAUCAAAUUUUAAGUAGGAUCACUUAGGGAUCAGAAAUCUAGGCAAUUGUUCAGUCUUCACUGCUGAACCAUGGGGAGUUCUUGAUGGAUUAGCUCUCAUUCACAAAGGGCGCUAUGAUGGUGUAUUGAUACAAACUAAUAGCUUGGAGGUGGUUAAAGCCAUUUAGGACUCCUCUCCCUCAAGCUCGAAUUCUACUCUCAUCAGACGUAUAAAUGUACAUUCAUGGGCCAUUCGACAUUUUCUUAAAGAACAUACUUGAUACAACCAAUGAAUUUGUUGAUGUAUAGAUUCAAGCUAUGAUGUCUAGUGAAGUAAAAGGAUAUUUGUUGGCAUAGCUCUAUUGAAGUUGUUGUUACGAAUAUUUCAACUAAUGCAAAUUAGAUAACUCAAUGGGUAAAUACUUAUUAUCGCUAACGCAUGACCAUGAGUGACACUGUUUUAUUUGGAGUCUAAUGAUUGCAACAUGUUUGGUGAUGAUCCUCAACUCUGAUUGAAUCUAUUAUUUAAUAUCGGACAAAAUAAAACAUUGAGAUGAAACUAUUUCAAUUUUCAUGUUCUUUGAUGAAUCUAUUAUUUAAAAAUCUCAAUUAGUUAGUUGAUUAAAUUAAAAAAAAUUGAUAGUUGGGUGAGCAAAUAAGAAAAAGGGGCGAUAGUUGGGUGACAUGUGAUGUAGUUUACCCUAAUAAUAAAAUAUAGUAGGGUAAACUAUAGAGUUAGUCACCCCACUAUUAGUAUGUUUUUGAUUUGGUCACCUAACUAUGAAAAUUUACAAUUUAAUCACUAUCGUUUUAGAUCAUUUUUAUUUUGGUCACGUUUUAGAUCGUUUUUAUUUUACUCAAUCUUCGUUAAAUGGUUAACCAAAGUUAUGUUGUGACCUUUUUUUAACUAGUAUAAAAAACACAUUUAGUCUUCAAUACUUACACAUUCUAUCAAUUUGAUCCUCGAACACAUACAAUUAAAUGUAACAUAUAUAUUAUUAAAACGUACAAAAUCUAAUUAUUUAUAUAUAUAUAUUUAUCUAAAUAAUAUUAUAUGUGCUUAUAUUUAAUUACGAUUAUAAGGUUCAAAUGUGCAUUUAGCCCCUCGAACUUGGCACCUUCUCCCAUGUUGGUACUUAUGAUUUUUUUGUCCCAUGUUGAUACUUUUUUUUUUGUUAUGCUAUUAAAUAUAGGACACAUGACACUCUUCCGAUGCCAUAAUCUAUUUGUUUUAUAAAAAUAUAAUAAAAAAUUUAAAAUUUAUAUAUAUGAAAUUUAUAUAAUUUUUUAAAAUAUAAAAUAAAUUAUAAAUUAUAAAAAUAUAUGUAUCUAAAAAUUAAAAAUAUUACAAAAAUUUUAAAAAAUCUAUAAUUCCAGUUUGAAAAAUCAAAGACCUACCAAAUUUACACAUUUUUCUAAAUAAAUUGUAAACAAAUUAGAUAAAGAUAAAUUUUGAAAUAAAUUUUAUGUUUAGAGACAGGUGCAAAUUAUUACAUGAUUUUUUAAGUUAAUAAGAAUGCAAAAGAUGAUGAUUUUUCAAGUUAAAUUUUAUGUUUUAGAUCGUUUUUAUUUUACUCACUCUUCAUUAAAUGGUUAACGAAAGUUAUGAUGUGAUUUUUUUUAACUAGUAUAAAUAAUAUAUUUAGUCUUCAAUACUUACUCAUUUUAUCAAUUUAAUCCUCGAACACAUAUAAUUAAAUAUAAAGUAUAUACUAUAAAGACGUACAAAAUAUAAUUAUUUAUAUAUAUUUAUCUAAAUAAUAUUAUUUAGUUUUCUUUUUUUUUUUGUUAAUUUUUUGCUAGGUGAUGGGAAAAAUUUGGUUCCUUUGUUGAAAAUGCACACACAUAUACACAUAUAAAUUUAUCAGCAUUUAGUUAUAUGUGUUUAAAUAUAAUCAUUUUUAUAUUUAAUUAUAUGUGUUUGGGAAUAAAGUUGAUAGAAUUUGUAAACAUGGAGGGUGAAAUCUAUUGAAUUAUUUAGAAUAAGAAUCAAAUUGAUAGAAUGUGUAAGUAUUGAGAUAUAAACGUGUUAUUAUGCCAGUUGGAAAAUGCAACAUCAUCACUUCCGUUAACAAUUUAACGGGGAGUAAUCAAAAUAGAAACAAUCUAAAGUGUGAGUAACCAAAAUAGAAAUAAUAUAAAAUUUAAGUGACUAAAUUAAAAAAUUCAUAGUUGGGUGACUAAUUAUAUAGUUUAUCCGAGAUAGUAGAAGCAAUUAGGAUUAAUUCCAACAAACAUCUCAAACUAUUACUCAUAUUUUAAAUUGAACCCUAAACUUGUACACAUUCUCAUUAAAUUACUCAAAUAGAAUGUGAUAAUGUGUUAUGCUAUUAUUCAUCAAUAGUUCAUAGAACUUAUGCACCAACAAUGCAUCAAAUAUUCUCAUUAAAAGAAAAUGUAUAAAAUAAGUUUUAUACCAUCUAUAAUUUGUAAAAAAAAAAUCAAUAAAAAAAUAUAAAAAUACAUCUAUAAUUUCACAAAAAGAAUUACAUAUCUAUAAUAUCUUUUUAUAAAUUCAAUUCCAAAUCUCCUGUAAUAAAUCAACCUCACAAAUCUGAUUGAGGUUAAAAACAAAGAAUGCAUGUAUUGUGCAAUUAAAACCAUGAUCCAUUUUCAAUUCUAAAGUAUUGAACAUAUAAAUUUGCAUUAUUUUACCUCCUUUGAUUCUUCACAAACUCUUUGGAAUAAAUUAACCAUCUAUUCCUUAUUUCAAUUUUAUUAAAAAGAUAGGUUCCCAUAAAGACAGUCUUUACAAACCAGUGCACCUAUCACAAACACAUCGGGGAACAUUGCCAUGAGAGAGGACCUAAGAAAACAUAAUACAAACUACAUAACAUACAAUCAAGCACCCACACAUUGUUUAUUAAACAGCUACAGAAAAAGGCCUGCAUACCACCAAGCAAUGAAGUUUUCUGUUCUGUUUGCAACUUGUUGAACUCGCCGAAAUGUUGGCUUCUCUACCUUUUUGAAAAUCUUUGUCGGACUCGCUCCACGAUCCUAAUCAACCACCAUGGUUUUCCAGUCGUGAAUACAAUGUAUGCCAUACUCAUUCCCAGCACCAACCCACAUCCAUACCCCAUCAAUAUUGAAAAUUUCCAAUUCAAUUCAAUUCAUCACCAUCAUCAUCUCUAUCAAAUUUGGCUGGAGUUCCCUCAUCAGUACCACAGUUUUUUGAUAAUGGCAAACCACAUAAAUCCAAGUUUCCCAUGUAGGAAUCGUUAGUGAAAGUAUCAAAUUGUUUGCCUUGAGGAAUGGGUCCCUUGAGAUUAUUUUGAGAAAGGUUUAACACCUCUAAGAAUCCAAGAUUUUUUAACUGUGUUGGAAUUCUUCCUUCCAGCUUAUUUGAUGAGAGAUCUAAUGAUUCAAGCUCUAACAAAUUACCUAAAGAUGAUGGGAUAAGACCCAUUAAACAGUUAUGGGAGAGGUUUAGGACAAUAAGUAAAUGAAGCUCACCAAGUAUUUUUAGAAUUUCUCCCCUGAAUUGGUUACUAGAAAGGUCAAUAACCGUCCAAAUGGAUAAUAGUGUUUCAAACUUUAUUUCCAGCCCUUUUGCUGUAACAGAUAAACCACCAGAAGCAUAAUUCACCCAAAAUGCAACAGUUGCAUCUUUCGUGAUCUUUAGUUCUCUCAUGUAAUUUGGUUCAACUUUCUUUCCAUACUCAUCUCUAAUGGCAUACAUAUGCUCAAAAAAUAGGGUAGGUAAGUAGCCACUAAAAUUAUUGUGAGAAAGAUCAAUGAUUCGCAAUUUAGUUAAAGAAACUGUAGUAUCAAAGCUCUCUAUUUGGCCGUAAAAUCUAUUUGACCUCAAGAUAAGAACUUGCAGCUGAUCCAAAUUUCCUAACCAACUUGGGAAAGUGUCAUUCAAAUUGUUUUUUCCAACAUUGAGAAUAUUUAAACCUUUGCAAUUACCCAAAGAUCGUGGUAGUGACCCUUCUAAUUCAUUGUUGAUGACAGAAAAACUUUUUAACAUGCAACUUUUAGCAAAGUUUUCUGGCAUUUGACCAUGAAAAUUAUUAUUCCCUAGAUAAACUGCUGUGAGAGAAGAACUCAAGUUUCCGAUGCACUUUGGAAUUGUUCCCUCCAAAUUAUUCCCAUCUAAAGAAAUACCCAUAAGCGAAGUCCAAUUGCAUAUUGAAGAAGGGAUUUCUCCAAUUAAGUUAUUAUUUGAAACUCCAUACCAUUGCAGUAAAGGUGGUGGUGUUGGAAUUCGACCUUAGAGAUAAAAUUGAAAAUGAGAUAGAAUUAGGAGUUUGAAGAUUCUUUGGAAUAUAAAUUAUAAAAUAACUAUAUUACAUGCAUGAUGUGUACACUGAAUACAAAUAAUUGAUUAAUUUACUACAAUGUGAUGUGCCUAACUAUUUCUAGUGUUUGAACCGUUUUGAGUCAUAUCUUUCUUUGAACUCAUACCGUCCUAAGCCUUAGAACAUUACCAGCUCAGAAAACCAAUGUGACUUAAGUGUUCUCUAUGCAUAAUCUUCCGAAAUUGCUAACAAUUAUACUUAAUGAAUAUUUGUUGAUUCACAUGAUUGUGUCUACUAUAUAUCUAUUUGAUUUAUGUUAAUGGUGAUAUUGUUAAACAUUUGGUCAUGAGAAUUACUUCUAGUUUGUUAGUAAUGUAAAUUUGUAAACUAGUUUUCGUACUUAAAGAGCUUGGAUAUGAGCAUUUUGGUUAUGCUUUAGUUAGUUUUUGUAUUUUAGUUUUAAUUCAAUAGAAAGUGUAAAUUGAGUGUUCUUAUGAUCUUAGGGGCCGAAUGAGGCCUAAAGGUGGACUAACAUGCUUAGUAAGUGUGCAUGACACCAUUCAAAGGCAUAGGAACUCAAGGUUGGUCGCCAUGUUGCAACAUGGGAAUCCAAUGUCGCAACAUAGAGGAUAGAGUGCCAAUAUUCCAAGAUUGUCUUUAAUGCCGCGACAUAGACAAUGGAUGUCGCAACACACCCCUGAAGCUGAAUAUAGGAAUCAAGUAUACUACCUUCAAUGCUACAACAUAGGCACUGGGUGUUGCAACACUAACUCUGCACGGGAAAUAAUUACGACCUGAGGGAAUUUUGGUCUGCACAAUGAAAAUUAACACGAAAACAUCAACCGACCUAGGGUUAAGGACGAUGACCACCCCUAACUCUAUAAAUAGACCCAUUAGGCACAUGUUUAAAAAACAAUUUUAGGGAGACAAAAAUAAUUAUUAGGUUUUUAUUCUGUUAUAAGUUUUUACUAGUUAUUUGAUGUUUUUGUAAUCGAAAGGUCCUAUUCCGAAGUGAGAUUCUCACAAUAGGAGAUUGUUCUAAAGCCAGCUUUCAUCGAUAAAUCCAUGAGCAUCUCUUUUCCUUUUUUCUAUUUUUUAUAUCUUUUUCUUUAACAUUGUUUAAUUGAAUGUUUGUGUAAAGUUUAGAUAUCACUAUUAACAGAGUAUUUAGGUAACAAAGGAUAGUUUAGAUAUCACUAUUAACAAAAAAAAAAAAGUUCAGAUAUGUCAAGAAAAAUGACAUAAUUUAAGUACUAAUUUGUGGGUUAAGUCUUAUUUUUUAUAUAAGUAACAACUAUUAAUUUGAGAGUGCUUCUAUCGUUUUAUACAAAAUAUUUUCAUUAAAAAAAUAAUAUAUACACAAUAAUAUUCAUAACUUUUUCUUGAAUGAAAUAAUAUUCAUGACUUCAAUUUUAUUUGGAAAAAAAUGUAAAUAAAUAAUAUUUGCUAUGUAUACACAUGGAUGAAGUGUAUAAUUGAAUAAUCUAUUUCACAACAUCUAACCUUUAUAGAUGCAUGGGAAUGACUUUAAUUGAUUCUUAUAGUGUUAUAAAUUUCUUAGCUAAAAAAAUAUAAAUUUAAAAUGAAAAAUAUGAGAUUAUAAAUAGAUAUAAAUUUUCAUCUAAAUCUUGACAUUUUCUUAUGAGUUAACAUUUUUGAAACAUUUUUUUGAAAUCGACUUUUUAUUUAAAAACGAAAAUGAGAGUCUUCACGAAUCCUUUUUUAUGAGGUGUAAUCAGAUCACCUCGUAAAUUGAUCGCUUUAAUAUACGAUAUAUUUUAGAUUUUAUGUGGAUUCUCUUAAGUUCAAUAUUCAAAUUAUUUUAGAUUUCCAUCAUAAAGUUGAAUAGUUUGUAAUUCAAAUCAUUGCUCUCUUUUUACUUGUACCAAUAUUUCCUAUAUUUUUCUUAUGUUAAAAUAGGUAAAGUAUUAAAUAUAUAAUUAAUUUUUUUAAGUCAAAAGCUAAUUAAUAAUAUAUAACAACUAAAAAGGGAUUGCAUAAAUGUAACAACAAAAAGAAAAAAAAUAAUAUUAUACCUGAUAAGUUGUUAUUAGAAAGUUCAAUAACUUCAAGAGUGGUCAAGUUUCCAAUAGUUGAUGGGAUUUCACCUAAAAAUAUAAAUAUAUUGGUCAAAAUAGCUUGGUGCUAGAAUUAUGUUAUCUUCGUGUGUGUACUUUUUUAAAAUUAUGUUUAAUGUAGAUAGCUAACUUAGAAGUAACCCAGGAUAUAGAGAAAUUUUAAUAAGUACUCGAACACAGUUGAACUUUUGACAAUUUGUAACUCAAAUUUGUUUCUUAUACUCAAAAUAGUAUAAGAAAAAAAAAGAAAAAACAUGAUAUUAUACUUAAUAAUUUGUUAUUAGAAAGAUCAAUAGCUUCGAGAGUAGUCAAGUCUCCAAUAGUUAAUGAGAUUUCACCUAAAAAUAUAAAUAAAUUAGUCAAAGAAAAAAAUAAAGCAUCUAAAAAAAUGUCUUAUACCAAUAUUCUUAUAUUUUUCUAAUUUCAAAGUAGUUAAAGGUUUAAAUGUGUAAUUAAUUGUUUUUAAGCCAAAAGUAUUAUAGUAAGAAGUUAAAAGAUUGUAAUUAAUUAGCAAUAUAGGAGGGAAAAUACCAAAAUGAGCUUUAUCAAAAUGCAGUGUUUUGGGAAUAUAGAAAGUUGACAUCAAUGAGUCUCUCAACUCCACAAGUUUUUGCUUAUGCCUUAUCCUUCCACUCAUUUUCAUUCAAAUUCAUCUUAAUCUACAUAAAGACCAUGAAAUCACUUGCUCAAAAAUAAAAACUAACAAUAUUUAAGCACAUGAAAUGCAAAAUAUCUAAAAUGCUAUGAAAACAAACAACAGUUCUCAAGAAACAAAGUAAAUGCAACCUAAAAAAAGCUUAUUAUGAUCAACACUCAUCAUAUCUUGCACUUACAUUUUUACCUCUCCUCAAAUUAAAUUAGUUUCAGAUUAGAAACAAAACUAACACACGAUGAACUAAACUUAGUGCAUUGAUUAGAAGUCUUACUUACAAAUGGUAAUUUUUAUUAACAAUAAAAAAAAUAUUUAUCUUUGUGCCAGAGAAGAACACUGCAUAGAUCAUAAAAAGGAAAAACUAAAACAUCCAAAACAAUAUGUCAAACACUAAACACAAAAUUCAUAGUUGUAGAGGAGGAUUAGAUACAUUGGUCCUAUAAUAUGUCACUCAAAAUCUCAAAAUCAUCCAACAAAAAGAAAUCAUCACUUCAGUUAAUUAAAGCAAGAACAAAUAAAGUUAUGGAUGAACAAAUAUGGGAACUAAAGAAAAAUGAUGGAUCAAAAGGGACAAAUAAGCUAAUUUCUGCCAUAAGGUAGAUGGUGAACUUAGGACGUGGAGUUCUAAUAAAUACCUAAACAUUUACUUCAUAACAUCUUUCAUUUUCUAAAUGCAUAAUAUUAAUGACUCUAGGUUUUAAUCUUUUAAGGUAACUUCUAUUUUAUUUACUUAAAAAGAUUGCAUAAAUUUAAUAACAAAAAGGAGAAUAAAAGAAACAUGAAAUUAUACCUGUCAAUUUGUUAUUACUAAGAUAAAGUGAUUGGAGAGAAGUUUAGUUUCCAAUAACAAGAGGAAUUUCACCUGAAACGUAUAAUUAAAUCAGUCAAAAUUUGCAAAUAUUUUCCUAGCAAACCCUUAAUCUAUUUGUUGAGCAUAUUAGUAUCUAUUUCAUUUACCCAUUUUUAAAUAUGCAAGUUUUUGUUAAGUUUUAUAGUACUUAUGACAACCCAAAAAUAUUUUAAUUAUAAUACUCGAAUUUAUAGUUCAAAUGAUGAUGAAAAUUAGAUGGAAUAAAAUAGUUCACUCUUAAUAGUUUUGUUCAAAUAUAGGAUACAUCGUCGAAGCUGAACAAAUAUAUAUAUAUUAGAAACUUUUAUUAGUUAGCAGGGAUUAGCUAAUGUAAAACAACUGAUACUAUUGCAUACAAUGUGUUCCCUAGACUGCUUGCUAUUUAUCCCUUUCCACAAAUUAUCAAAAACACAUGUACAUUUUAAGCCAAACAUUUAUAAUAGUCAUAGGCGUCAUAUUGAUUCAAUUUUUUGCUAAGGAAUCAGCAAACACACACAUAUCUGCACAUAUAGACACACACAUAUAUCUGCACAGAUAGACUACUAGGAACCCAAAAAUGUCGCUAGACCCGAGAUAUAGUCUAGGUGAUAAGGGACUGAGGAGUUUAAUAGUAAAGAAACUAGUAAGAACUCACAUGAUAAUGAGCUUGUUGUAACCAGAUUACAAAGAAUGGGGCAUAGUCAAGUUUCCAAUUUCUAUAGGCAUAAUUCCCUCCAAAGAGUUGUUAUGCAAUGAUAAUUAAUACAUCAACUAUUGUAACUAGAAGAGACUGCAUAACAGUAACAACAAAAAAGAUAAUAAAGAUGAUAUUAUACCUGUUAAGUAGUUAACAGAAAGAUCGAUGUCCGUGAGAGAAAUAAGAUUUCCAAUAAUCGACGAAAUUUCACCUAAAAUAUAUAAUAAAAAUUAUCAAAAAUUUAUUUCACAAAAAAAAAAUCAAAAUUUAUUAAUUAUUUUUAUAAUAAACCUUAAAAUCGUCAAAAAUCAAAGCUACUUCAUGGUUGUAUUUUGUGAGGCUGUGGGAGUUGUGUGAAGAAGGGAAAGAGACAAUAACAGUGGGUCAAUGCGGGUAGAUAUAAGUCUGAAACAUAUAAUAUCAACUAUUUACUCUGUAAUCAAAGCUAAGAGAAAUCAUGUACUCUAUUUCUUUCCUAUUCAAUAAUAUCAACACAUAAAUAAUAAGGCAAAUCUAAAGGAUAGAAAAAAUAGCUAAUUACAAGUCUUGUGUGAUUCAAAAGGGUAUAAAGUAGGUCCUAAUUAAAAAUCAAACCUUAAAUUAAUUUAAUGUAAAAUUUAACCCUUUUCUUAUCACCAAAUAAAUUUACUUUUAGUAAAUUAGGAGUUUUAAUAAAAUAUUUGUAAUAUCUGAUUGUUUAUGACUAGGUGUUUUGUUUCCAACAUAUUCAGAAUUAACUUGCCUUAGAAAAACAGUCUAUAUUAUUUUUAAGAAUAUUAUAAAAGCAAGAUAUUAGAAAAAUGAAUGAAACAGUAACCAGGAAUUGUUUACCUUUGAGGUGGUUGUUACCAAGAUUCAAACUGUCGAGCAAAGUCAAAUUUCCAAUUUCUGUAGGUAUAGUUCCCUCCAAGGAGUUGUUAAACAAUGAUAAAAACCUUAGCUCUUUGCACUUGAAUAAACUAUUUGGAAUUCUACCGGAAAUUUGAUUCCUACUCAACCUUUCUAGUUUUGACAAAUUGCCUAGAGUAGAUGGGAUAACACCGAUGAAGUUGUUAAGGUACAGAGACAAUCUUUGAAGUUUACUGAAGCAACCAAACCAUGAUGGGAUUUCUCCAUUGAAGCUAUUGUUACCAAGUCCAAAUAUUUCAUCCGACGCA
rnacentral:lncRNA from 1 species